CCUCUUCCUUUCUCUUUCUGUCUCCUUCUCUUCCAAUUUUUCACUCAACUCCUCCCUUACGCCAGAGAAAGAUCCUAGAAAUUUCCUGCGACCACCCUCGCGCUUCAAUAAGAGGUCGGCAAAAUCUAAUUUGAAGGUCGGAGUGUCGUCGAUCAGUCUCCAGUGAAAAUAUCAAUUUCGACAUUCUCUAGUGAAAAUUAUCAGCUUCGAUUGAGGGGGUGAUUGUCUUGGCUGAGUUCUUGGCGGCGCUAGGUGGGUGGUGUUGAGGGUGAUUAUUCUCAAUUUCUGUUAGGGUUUGGGGUAAAUUAGAAAUUUUGUUACCAAAAAAAAAAAAAAAAAAAAAAAAAGCUAGUAUGACAUUUUCUUAAUUUAAAACUUGGAUAAUUACGUGUCAAGCUUCUAUUCGCUAGGAACACCAACUCAACUGGGGUACCCCCAGGUCUUUAAUGACAUGGAAUGGAACUAGCCCCAUUUGCUAGUAAAGCAAUACGGUCGACCAAUUGCAUGGCACAAGCAAACAUCGGUUACUUGACGUGCUUAUUUGUCUCAACGAAUCAACACCCUCCGAUCAAUCCAACUUUAAAUUUUUAAAAGCCAUAUCUCUCUAUAGAAACCUCCACUCAUCGUGAUCAACUUAAGCAUGGAUAUCUCAUUUCUUAAUGCUGACCAUCAAUGUUGGGGUUUUUAUUUAUUUAUUUAUUUUUUCCAAUAUCCUGUUAGCUUACUACUAUUACUACUUAGUAAUAUAUCUUCAGUUAGCAAUUUUUUUUUUUUUUUUGUGAGUAAAACGAUAGCAUUCGUAAUUUAAAUGUUAGAUUAGACACUAACGGGGUUCGAACCUACGCCAUCAUGCAAGAGCACUACACUUUUUCACCACUGUGGUAAAUGGCCACUUGCACUUCAGCUAGCAAUAUAAAAAGCUAACUACUUGACAAUUCGCAUUUUACUUAUAUCCGUUUAUUUCUUUUUACUGAUUUUUCCAAUGUUUAUAAAAUCUAAUAAUAGUCUAAAAGAUGUGAAAGUUUCAAAUUUGAGCAUAAAAGUGACGAUAGAAAGGAAUGAUAUACAACAAAAGUUAUAUUCUUAAACAGAUAUUCAAAUUGAUUGAUUGAUUGAUUCUUUUUUUUUCACUGUGAACAAACACAAUAAUACUUGUGUUCACCACAUGAAUGUACCUCUUUGUCCAAAAUUUUGAAUUGGAACUUUUCAUUUCUUUUGUGACUCCAGUACUGAAUAUACAUGUAUUAUCAACACACAUUAAGUUUUAGAUUCAUGUUCUCCUAGACUCUUUGGCCCAAAUAAAUUGUGGUUACCCACCGUUCGAUUUUAAUUUAACAGGGGAAGAGAAAGUCUAACAAAAAAUUGAACUGAGGGCUACCACAAUUUUCUUAGACCAUAUGGUGUAGGAGCCCAGGUUUGCUAAGAUCAUACCCCUCAUUUAUAUAAGCGUAUGAUGAAGGGGCUUUGACUCGAUUUGUUAAAUGAAUAGGAUCUAAAAGACAUCUAAAACUAAUAAUGAAUACGAUAAAAUUUCGGACUAUAUAUACGUGGUGUAUUAGGUACACGUACAAUAUUUUUUUCUUCUAUAUUUCCUGAAAUAACUUGAAAUAGAUAAAAUGCAUUUGGCUAGCAAUGUCUGAACAGUUUUUGUUCCAUGAUAGCGAAAGAACCUCGGUACAACUUGUGCAUUUAGCCACUACAGCAGUAUGCAUAUAACAAGUAUCUCUCAUUCUCAGAUGAUAACCAAGUCUUGGAAACCCGCAAGUGGAGCACCAACCCAGUGUAUAAAUGGGCGUCUAAUCACUCCCCAAUCAUCUCAAAUGAUUUGUGAUCGCAUGCCGGAAUUAGAGGCCUCUGAGAAUCAGACAUUAAAAUCUCAAUAAGGACACAAUCUUUUCAUACCACUGAAUAUCAAUGUGGAUCGUAAGUGACCCGACAAUAUCCAAAGGAACAUGCACAUAUGGACAAUGUAGGAGAGAAAGAGAAAAAAAAGCAAAUAAAUGAGUAGUAGCAAGAACAAGUGGUUUGCUGAUUUUGUUUGCGUUUCAUGUUCAAACGAAAGGGGAUCAUAAGCAUUGGUCUAGGCAAUUAUAGCAAGCAAUAUUUAAGGGAGAGGCAAAGGAGUUGUCGCGAGUGUUUCACAUCUUGAAAAAAAUGUGUGACUGGACUCCAAUUUAGUACAAGUGCAAAUGUGGUGUGCCGGCUGGCCAGUGAAGUGUGGGGAGAGUGGUUUGUGUGCAUGUCCCACAGAGGCUGAGAACAUGUUGAAACUGGCCAGGCAUUUGUCAAAGGGAGAAAACAAUUGCUGUUUCUCAAUUUCUUUCCUUGUCUGAUUUUUCUUACUUUUCUUUCUUGUUUUUUUUUCUAAGAAGACGAAUUUCACACGUUUUGAAGCUUAUUUCUUUUGUUUUUCCGGUCGACAUAAUUUGUCUAAAUUACUACCAAAGAAUUAAUAUUUCUAAAAUGCCUUCAUUUGAAUCCCUUCAUUUGAAUAGGGAUUUAACUUUAUCCAAAAUCUGUGGAGCACUAUUCCUUGCUAGCUAGCUAGCCUCAUGAAGGUAACUCACUAGGUAUACUUUAAUUAGUUUACCUUAGCAUGAAGAUAAUAACCAAAUUGCAUAUAUUCAGUUUCCCUGGCUUCUAGUGCCAAAAAAAUCAAAAGAAAACUUUGUAUUGUAUUCAGAUUUAUAGAUUUUUUUUACAAAGUUUUUAUUUAUUUUUUAAAUCUACAAAGUCUAUCAUUAAACUUUAAAAAAUGUGUAGAAGUCUAUCAUUAAAAAGUCUAGAAUUCAUGAAGAGGGGAGAGGCUCAAGAAUCGACUGGUUUAGGCAAAGAUUUACCUUCGUGGAAAGGAUAAUUCAUUCGGAUUGAUGUUCUAGUAGUCAAUAAAAGUCUGCGAAAUUUACAAAAGCCUUUCACAUAAAAAGCGAAUCUAGGUACAGAUGGAAAUCUAUAUGAGUUGAUAGCACUCAAAAUUGUAUUUUCUGCAGCUUCUCCAGAUCGAUAGCUGGCAUCGAGGGGGGGGGUGUUGUUGAGGAUAAUAAUCGAAUGAAUGUGGAUGUGCCACUUGUCAAGCAUCGGUUGAGUUUGUUAGUCAAGUUGUUAGUCGAGUUGUUAGGGUUAGCUAGGGUUAGUUACUAAUGACUUGCUAUGUAAGUAAUUGACAGCUAGCAAUGAAAUAUAAGGAUUGUAAUGAUCUCAUACAAUGUUAAUGAAGAAUACAAUCUGUUGAAGUAAUCUCUCUCUCUCUCUCCUGAGGUAUCUUCUUUCUUCUUCUUCUCCUUUCUUCCUUUCUCUCUCUACAUCUCUAAGCUUCUGUACUACAGUGGUUUACAUGGUAUCUUCGCCUGCAAAACUGAUCACUAAUUCAUCGAUCUAGGUUGCUUCCGCUCACAGCGUUUAAUUGCUGGUUCUUGUUUGCACGCAACAUGUUUGAUAAAAGUUUUUUGCCCGAUUUUCUUCUGAUUUCUUCGUUUCUUGCAACAAUGAUGAUUGCUGCACAGCUCCAUAUUGUUCAAUCGCCCAUUACAUCUUUGAUUUUAACCGUAUCGAUAGCCGUGACGGUGAAACUUGAUGAUACGAACUAUUUGACCUGGAAUUUUCAAAUGCAACUUCUUCUCGAAGGACAUGGGAUCAUGGGGUUUGUAGAUAGCUCGUCUCCUUGUUCUCCUCGAUUUCCCACGACUGUAUCAAGCACUUCAGAUGUUAGCUCAGACAAUUCUUCUUCCUCAGUUGAAAGUGAUGAUUUCAAGAUUUGGAAAAUGCAUGAUCGUGCGUUAAUGCAAUUACUCACAGCUACUCAUUCAUCUCCGACUGUUUCGUGUGUGAUUGGAAGUGUUAGCGCCUGUGAUAUGUGGACGAGACUCAAGGAGCAUUUCUUUAUGGUUACUUGCACGAGUAUAUUUCAACUCAAGUCAGAUCUUUAGACUAUCAAGAAAGGGGCUGACUCGGUUACUACAUAUCUGCAACGCAUCAAAGAAGCUCGGGAUUACUUAGCAUAUGCUGGUGUAUUGUUUGAUGAUGAUGAUGAUAUUGUUAUUCUUACCUUGGCUGGUCUUCCUUCUGAAUUCAACACUAUUAGGUCCAUUAAUUGAGGAAGAGAUAAUGUGAUCUCGAUUAAGGAUUUGCGGGCUCAAUUGCUUGCUGAAGAAGCAAUGAUUGAAAAUGCUCAAGCACCAUCUUUUCAAACUGCAAUGGUUGCUGGUGAAAAUGGGGGUCAGUUAAAAGGGUUCUCUACUCGCCAAGAUUCUUCUACUUCUGGUGGUAAUUACAGUUAUCAAUGGGGCUUAUCUUCAUAUAGACUGUUUUUCAACAAAAAUAAGGGCAGAGGCAAGUUCUUAUAUGGUUCAAGAUUUGGAAAUCGACAACCUUACAACAAUGGAGCUCCUAGUCUUCUUGGUUCUUCUCCACCAAGACAACAUUUUUCGAACAACCCAUCCAUUCCACCUUGUCAGAUCUGUGAUAAAUUUGGUCAUCUUGCAGACACUUGUAGGUUCAGGAAUGUUGAUUCUUUAGUUCAUAAUGGUUGUCAGAUUUGUGGUAAAAAGAACCAUAGUGUACAAUACUGUCAUUUCAGAAAUGCCAACAUUCGUAGUCAAUCUCCUGCAAUGACUGCAAUGCAUGCUACUACAUCCACACCAUCUAUGGAGUAUCAACCACCACAAGUUUGGCUCACUGACUUUGGAGCAACAAGUCACAUGACAGCUGACUUGAAUAAUCUGUCUCUUGCCACUUCAUUUCCAUCCAUUGAGAUGAUUCAAACAUCAAGUGGAGAAGGUUUGCAUGUGUCUAAAAAAGGUUCCUCCAUAUUACAGACUCCUUUACACAACUUGAAACUUAAUUUUGUUCUAUAUGUUCCCCAAAUCUCUUAGAAUUUGCUCUCAGUACAUUGCAUUUGUCUCGAUAACAACAUUUGGCUAAUAUUUGAUGCCUUUUAUUUUUGGAUUCAGGACAAAGCCACAGGGAGAAUUAUGUUCAAAGGUCGCUGCAAUAAUGGAUUAUACCCUAUCCCAAUUCAUUCAACUCAUUCGAACCAAGUUCUACAAUCUGCAGCUUAUGUUGGGAAACAAGUCAAUACCAGCUUGUGGCAUCACAGAUUAGGUCACCCUUCCAAUCUUGUUGUAUCUCAAAUGCUUAAAAAGUUUGAUAUUUCCAUGCUUCUGAUAUGUUACCUAGUCUGUGUUCAACUUGUUUGGGGGGAAAAAUAACCAAAUUACCUUUUCAACAAACCAUAAAUAGAUCUGUCAUACCAUUUGAAGUAGUGCAUAGUGAUGUAUGGGGUCAUGCACCUUGUCUGUCUAUUGAAGGGUUUAAAUUCUAUGUAACCUUCAUAGAUGAGUGUACUAGGUUCUGUUGGAUAUUUCCAAUUAUUAAUAAAGCUGCUGUUUGUGAUACGUUCAUUAAGUUUUACAACUUUGUGUUCACUCAAUUUUCAAUUUCAAUAAAGACAUUGCAAACCGAUGGAGGUGGUGAGUAGAUAGGAAAACAGUUUCAAGACUUUCUUAUAACCAAAGGUAUUAAACAUCAAUUAUCUUGUCCCUAUACACCAGAACAAAAUGGUUUGGCUGAAAGGAAACAUCACCAUAUCAUUGAAACAACCAUAACUCUUUUACAAACAACUUACUUGCAGAAUUUUGGUCAUUUGCAGCUUAAACUUCUGUAUAUCUUAUCAAUCGAAUGCCCUCCCACACCUUGAAUCAUAAAUCACCUUUUGAAGUGUUGUAUGAAUCUGUCCCUGAUAUCCAUCACUUAAAGAUCUUUGGUUGUGCUUGUUACCCUAUUUUAAGACCCUUAAACAUAUCAAAGUUACAACCUCGAACUACCAAAUUCAUCUUUCUGGGUUAUGCAUCAAAAUAUAAAGGGUUUGUCUGCUAUGAGGUUACUAAAAAGAGGGUGCAUAUAUCUAGGCAUGUUAUAUUUGAUGAGGGGGUAUUUCCAUAUAAGGAACUUAGUUCUACACAUGAUUGUUCUAUACUGUCACCACCCUUAUCAGUGUCAAACACACUAGUUGCCACUACAAAUUUAGAAAAUGUCUUGGUAGCUCCACGACUUGAUUCUUAUGUUUCAUCUUCUAGUGAUCCUCGUGUGUCCAGCAUUGAACCUCGGUUUUCUCCUGUUUCAUCUGCAAGUUUACCAAACUUUGAGCCUAUGUCUUCUCCUAUGUCAUCUGAUUCUAUGUCAUUUAUUCCUACAUUGUUACCUGUGUCCAUACCACCUCAAUCCAUUAUUGCACAAGAACAGAAUAUUACAGUCUCAGAUCCUGUGGCUCCUGACUUUCAGCCUGAGCAUCUUCAAGUUGUUUUAUCGAUUCCUCCAUUAAACCUUCAUCCCAUGCAAACUAGAUCAAAGAGUGGGAUUGUCAAGUGAAUGACAUUGUUGUCCACUGUGCAUGAGAAUGAGGGUGUUGAUUUGAACACUAUCGAACCUGCAACCUACAAGUCUGCAUUAAAGAGUGUCGUUUAGACUGAGGCAAUAAGAGAAAAACUUUCUGCAUUACACUCUCAAGGGACAUGGAGCUUGGUACCCUUACCACAGAACAAGAAUUUGGUGGGGUGUAAAUGGGUGUUUAAAAUCAAGAAGAAUGCAGAUGGCUCAGUUGAGAGAUAUAAGGCUAGGCUUGUUGCAAAAGGAUUUAGCCAAGAAGAAGGGAUUGAUUAUGGAGAAACAUUUAGUCCGGUUGUUAAGCUUGUAUUAGCCAUGGCAGCUCAUUAUGGAUGGUCAUUAAGGCAAUUAGAUGUGAAGAAUGCCUUUUUACAUGGCAUAUUGCAGGAAUAAGUUUACAUGUCACAACCUCCGGGUUUUAUUGAUUCUCAUUAUCCAGAUUAUGUGUGCCAGCUUCACAAAUCUUUAUAUGGAUUAAAACAAGCUCCACGAGCUUGGAAUGAGAAGUUCAUAACCUUCCUUCCAUCUCUUGGGUUCAUCUCUACUUAUGCAGAUUCCUCCUUAUUUGUCCAACACACUGGCAGCUCCAUCGUUGUCCUACUUCUUUAUGUUGAUGAUAUUAUUCUCACUGGAAAUUCAUCUUUAGCAAUCAUUGCAGUAAUUGAUGCUUUAACCAAAGAAUUUGAUCUCAAAGACUUGGGGCAGCUUCAUUAUUUUUUGGGCAUACAGGUUAUACAACAAUCAAAUGGUUUGUUUCUUUCUCAAGCAAAGUAUAUCAAGGAUCUUCUAGCCAAAACAGAUAUGGAAGACUCCAAACCUUGUGCAACACCAUGCUUGCCCUAUAAUCGAUUGGUACUGGAUGAUGGCAAACCUUAUAAUAAUCCGGGAUUAUACAGGAGUUUGGUUGGAGCAUUGCAAUAUCUUACAUUCACUCGACCUGAUAUUGCAUUUGCAGUCCAUCAGGUAUGUCAAUUCAUGCAAAAUCCAAUGGAGUCUCACUUUACUGUAGUUAAGCGGAUCCUUAGAUAUUUGAAGGGUUCAGUGCACUUGGGAGUUCAGUAUGUUAAAGGUGACUUGGAUGUGAGAGCCUAUUCGGAUACAGAUUGGGCUGGUGAUCCCAAUGAUAGAAGGUCGACAACUGGGUUCGUGGUGUUUUUAGGUUCCAAUCCUAUAUCGUGGUCAUCUAAAAAGCAGCAAACUAUCUCACGCUCGUCCACAGAGGUUGAAUAUCGAGCAUUGUCCUCUACUGCUGCUGAAUUGGAUUGGAUCAAACAGCUGCUGUCAUUUCUGCAUGUUCCCAUUCCCUAUCAACCAAUGUUUUACUAUGAUAACAUGUCGACUAUUGCCCUAACUUGUAAUCUUGUUCUUCACCAAAGAACAAAACAUAUUGAGGUAGACAUUCACUUUGUUCGAGAACGAGUGAAUAAAAAGCUGUUGACAGUGCAGUUUGUUCUUUCUGCUGACCAAUAUGCAGAUAUUUUGACGAAGGGGUUGUCUGCUCCACUCUAUCAAACACAUUGUCACAAUCUCAGUCUUGCAGUUCUUGCCACUGAGUUUGAGGGGGGAUGUUGAGGAUAGUAAUCGAAUGAAUGUGGAUGUGCCACUUGUCAAGCAUCGGUUGAGUUUGUUAGUCAAGUUGUUAGCCGAGUUGGUUAGGGUUAGCUAGGGUUAGUUACUAAUGACUUGCUAUGUAAGUAAUUGACAGCUAGCAAUGAAAUAUAAUGAUUGUAAUGAUCUCAUACAAUGUUAAUGAAGAAUACAAUCUGUUGAAGUAAUCUAUCUCUCUCUCUCCUCAUGUAUCUUCUUUCUUCUUCUUCUCCUUUAUUCCUUUCUCUCUCUACAUCUCUAAGCUUCUGUACUAUAGUGGUUUACAGGGGUUUGGGUGGUGGCAGCAAAAUGGUUGUAUGAGGUUGUGGUAUGGUGAUGAUGAGUAUGACAACGUGGUGGCAGAAUAUGUGAUAUAAUGGUGACAGAGACGGUAACAGAGGUGAUGACAGUGGCAGCGAUAGUUGUCGAUAUUACAGUAGCGAAGACAGUUAUGGUUAGUUGGUGGUGAUGACAUGGUGUGGUUGAAGUAAAGAUGGUGAUCCUCAUUAAUUACAUCAUGGUGGUGGACUAUCAAAAUCUAUGAAAGUUCAUCAAAAUCUUAAGGGGAGAGGUUGAAUUGCUAUGACAAAAAAAAUAUAUACUAUGAAAAGCGUCAAAGUCUUUGAAAGUUCAUAAUUUUUUAACAUCCUUUAAAUCAAUGAACUUUUAAAUACACAUAAACUUUUGUAAACUUACAAAAAGUCAUAAUUAAAUGACACGAGAAUUUUAUAGACUCUUUAGAAGUCAUAGAAAGCUUUAAUUCAAUAUAGGGUAAAAUUUUAUUGACUCCAUAAAAAUUUAUAGUGAAUAGACCUGAAUUUGAGAGUUAAGCAAAGUUCAUUAAAUUCCAUCAAACUCCAUACACAUUACAAACACCCACCCCCCCCCCCCAAGUUUACUUGUCAUGAAUACAUAUAAAAUCCAAAAUUCAAUUACGACAAUAUGUCAAUAAAACUAAAUAAUGAAAGCCACUUAAUACUAAAACCUAAUAAUAUUUCUCUUCAAUUGUAGUAUCUUAUAAUACAAAUAUUUGAUUCACAACUGUGAGUAAGCCUGGCAAACGGGUCGUGUCUGUCGUGUUCGUGUCGUUUUCGUAUAACACCUGUUAUCUUAUCGGGUCGUGUUGUGUCACACCCGUUAUCUUAACGGGUCCUUAACAGGUCAAGUCACUUUACCCAACGGGUAAAGUGACCCGAUUUGGGUAAAGUGACCCGACCCGUUAUGACCCGUUAAGAAAAAUGUAUUUUUUUUCUUAAAUUUGCACAUACCACACAUUGCCACAUAAAUAUUACUUCAAAAUAUUAAAACACAUUUGUCGUGUAAGUACUAUAUCUACACUCGAAAAUAAGAGCUUAAUAAAAAAAUAAUACAUACACUACUAAUCUAUUACAAAUAUUAAAUGUGCAAGGAUAUGCAAAAUGAAAGGGUUUUUGUUUUCAAGGUUGUGAAGCCUUUCUCAAAAGUUUUCAAUGGCCAUCAAUUUUUUAAAUUAAAUUUAAUAUAUAUAUAUAUAUAAUUAUUAUUAUAGUUUUUAGGGGUAUAAAAUUGUUAAAUUAAUAUAUAUAUAAUUAUUAUGGGAAUUGUUAUUAGCACUCCAAAAAUAUCAUUCUACACUCCAAACUUUCUAUAUUGGGAAAGAAAAAUACACUUGUGAGGAGUGUAGAAUGAGAUUUUUGAAGUGUCAAUAACACUUCCCAUUAUUAUAAUUUAUUCAUACUUUUAUUAAGUAUAACAUAAGAUUUUGUAGUAUCCACUAGUGUAAAUAUUUUAAAUUGAAGAUUAAAUUUAUUCAUUCUAUUCAUAUAGGGUCAAGGAGUGUAGCUGUAAAAAAUCAUCAAAAUCGGAGUUAAAAUAACCGUUAAAUCGUGAUUUUUUUAUUUUAUAACCGUCGAAAAGUUUUGUCCCGUUACUUUAUCUCUGAAUGUUUGUUUUUUGCAAUUUUUGGUGUAUACGAUCUCGAAGUAUAUACAAACAUGUUUGACGGUUGGAUCGUUGAGACUAAUUUCGUAGAAUGCGUACCUCAUCAAAACAAUAUAUUCACUAACACUUAAAGAGUUUAUUCAUACUUUCAUUAAGUAUAACAUAAGAUUUUGUGGUAUCCACUAGUGUAAAUAUUUUAAAUUGAAGAUCGAAUUCAAUCAUUGUAUUCAUAUAGGGUCAAAGAGUGUAGCUGUAAAAAAUCAUCAAAAUCAGAGUUAAAAUAACCGUUAAAUCGUGAAUUUUCUUUUUAUAACCGUCGAAAAGUUUUGUGUGGUUACUUGAUCUCUGAAUGUUUGUUUUUUUCAAUUUUUGGUGUAUGCGAUCUCGAAGUAUAUACAAACAUGUUUGACGGUUGGAUCGUUGAAAGUUGUUUCGUAGAAUGCGUAUCCUAUUAAAACAAUAGAUUCACUAACACUUAAGAGUUUAUUCAUACUUUCAUUAAGUAUAAUAUAGUGUAAAUAUUUUAAAUUGAAGAUCGAAUUCAAUCAUUGUAUUCAUAUAGGGUCAAGGAGUGUAACUGUAAAAAAUCAUCAAAAUUGGAGUUAAAAUAACCGUUAAAUCAUGAUUUUUCGUUUUAUAACCGUCGAAAAGUUUUGUCCUGUUAUUUGAUCUCUGAAUGUUUGUUUUUUUCAAUUUUUGGUGUAUGCGAUCUCGACGCAUAUACAAAUAAGUUUGACGGUUGGAUCGUUGAAAGUAGUUUCGUAGAAUGCGUAUCCCAUCAAAACAAUAUAUUCACUAACACUAAAGAGUUUAUUCAUACUUUCAUUAAGUAUAACAUAAGAUUUUGUGGUAUCCACUAGUGUAAAUAUUUUAAAUUGAAGAUCUAAUUCAAUCAUUGUAUUCAUAUAGGGUCAAGGAGUGUAGCUAUAAAAAAUCAUCAAAAUUGGAGUUAAAAUAACUGUUAAAUCGUGAUUUUUCUUUUAUAACCGUCGAAAGGUUUUGUCCCGUUACUUGAUCUCUGAAUGUUUGUUUUUUGCAAUUUUUUGCGUAUGCGAUCUCGAAGCAUAUACAAACAAGUUUGAUGGUUGGAUCGUUGAAAUUAGUUUCGUAGGAUGCGUAUCCCAUCAAAACAGUAGAUUCACUAACACUUAGAGUUUAUUUAUACUUUCAUUAAGUAUAACAUAAGAUUUUGUGGUAUCCACUAUUGUAAAUAUUUUAAAUUGAAGAUCAAAUUCAUUCAUUGUGUUCAUAUAGGAUUAAGGAGUAUAGCUAUAAAAAAUAAUCAAAAUUGGAGUUAAAAUAACCGUUAAAUCGUGAUUUUUCGUUUUAUAACCAUAAAAAAGUUUUGUUCUGUUACUUGAUCUCUGAAUGUUUUUUUUUUGCGAUUUUUUGCUGAUGUGAUCACGAAGCAUAUACAAACAAGUUUAACGGUUAGAUCGUUGAAAUUAGUUUCGUAUAAUUCGUAUCCCAUCAAGUUCAAUGGUAUAUACAUAUAUAUAUAUAUAUUUAUUAUGUUGAUUUAAAUCUAUUUAUUUUGUACGUAUAAUUGACUGGUACAUGAAGUAGUACAUCAUGUGUCAUUAUAAAAAUAGUGCGAUAUGUGUGAUAAAAAAGUUAAUAACUUAAAAAAUAAAAUUUCUCACAACUUCUAUUAAAACACAUGGUGUAAUUUGUGUUCCCGUUACAAUGAAAAAUUUCUCAAGAAAAAAAAGGAGAGAGAGAGGUGAAUGACGUUCACGUGUCAAGAACACAGCUGUUAGAUCUUAUCCUAUCAAUAACAAUUAACAAGUGCACACUUGAGAAUUGAGAUGAGAGAACCAUGGUGGAAAAACCCACCCUACUACUAGUAGCAAACAAAAUACCACUAGGUCCCAUCUUUCCCUCUCUUUUUUGUUUCAUUUUCUUAUAAUUUUCAUUUUUCCCUUCAUUUUUCUUCAAAGGGUGGAACGGUGGAUGCAUAUUAAUUAAUAAUUAUUAUAGUUUUUUGGGGUAUAAAAUUUAAUAUAUAUAUAUAUAUAUAUAAUUAUUAUAGUUCAUAUUUUGGGGGUAUAAUUAUUAUAAUUAUUAUACUUAAUUUAAUAUAUAUAUUUAUUAUAGUUUUUAGGGGUAUAAAAUUGUUAAAUUAAUAUAUAUAAUUAUUAUAGUAUUUUUUUAGGGUUAUAAAAUUAUAAAAUUAAUAUUCUACUUAUCGUGUAUCGUGUUACCCAUAUAUAUACCCGAAGCAACCCGUUAUCUUAACAUGUGCUUAUCAGGUUACCUGAUAACGACCCGAACACCUGUUAAUUUCAUGUCGUGUCGUGUCAAGUUAUCAAAUCGUGUUAGGAAUUACCAGGCCUAACUGUGAGUGAGGGUGGUUUGGAGAAAUCACUUGCUGGAACAGAUAAGUCAUUAUCCUUUUCCUUUAAAACAUGGUUGAGUCUGUUUAAACUAUAUUUUGAUGUGACUAGACCGAAUGGCGCAAAUCGUCGAUUUCCCGCUUGUUGCGCAGCAGCUUUUCCAUAUUAAAUAAAGAUAAUAUUUACUUCGUAGGUGAACUGUAGCUUGUCUGUCAAGGCAUGCAUGUUCACCUGUUCUGCAUGUUGGUUCUUGUAUGUCGGUUUUGAGUACUCCCUGCAUCAAAGCCCAGUUGUUUUCCAACCAAAAUGUAGGGGUAAAAUGUCCACCUAUUUUGUAUAUACUUCUCUAACCAAUCACCUCCCCAAUCACCUCCCUUUUUCUUCUUUUGUUUUCACAAUAAACUUUUACAUCCCAACUUCAUUUUUGAUGCAUUGCGCAAUAGGUGAAACGUUGAAAGCUCACAACAUUUGAUCUGUUCGAUCGACCUCAUACGUAGAGCACCAGAGCAAAGGAUGUCCAUUUCCUGUUUAGUUCAUGCAUAUGUUGAUUCUAUCUUUGAUUACCAAACAGUUAGGGUUUAGGGAAAAAAAAAGCAUCUGAUUUAUUAUUAAUUAAUUAGAUAAUGCUUGUGUUCCUCUUAUAGUAAAACCAACUUGUUCCACUACUUAUGAUUAUUUGCAUCAUUCUCUCCCGUUCAAUAGAAUUUUGAUUUUAAAGUAGGAUGACUCUACAAGCGGCGGAUUUUCCCUUAUAUCGUAUAAGUCCAUUAACUUUUUUCUUUUAGUGAAACAGAAGUCCAUUUACUUAGCUGGUCACUAUCGAGUUUUAAUCAAUUUACUUACCAUGACAUCUUCUUGUACUCUGGACCUACACCUUGUAAUUCUCUGGUUUUAAAUUUCUUGGAAAUUAAGUUGCUUUUGAUUCAAAUUAUUACUUAAAUAAAUCUGGGAAAGAGGGAAGGAAGUGUGAGGAUGAAUGCAUAUAUGUUCAAUAACUUUUUAGGUAAAAUAAGAAUUAAGCCGAUCUUUAAAUAAAUCUGGUGUGUGCGCUUAAAAUUUCCUUUAAACAUUUGCUUAGUUGCGUCAGCUAAGCUUCUGCAACCAUUUCAAUUUGUAUACAAAAAGUACGUACAACAGUAGUGGCCUGAUUAAUAAACAAUUAUUAAGUAUGAAUAUGUGGAAAAAAUUAGUGUAGUCGAGAUGAGAAUGUUUCGUUGAAUGGGUGGGAACACGAGAAAGAACAUGAUUAAGAAUGAGGAUAUCCGAGAUAGAGUAGGAGCGGACCUAAUUGAAGAUAAGAUGAGAGAAAAUCGGUUAAGGUGGUUAAGGCAUGUGAAACGAAGAUCUACAGAUGUUCCGGUUAGAAAGUGUUACUUUGUGACAGAGGCUAAGGGCACAUCGGGUAGAGUAAGACCUAAGAAUACCUUGAAAGAGACUUCAAGAAAAUACGUGAUAUUUGGAGCUAACGCAAAACUUGACGCAAAAUCAAGCGCAGUGAUGUUCUAAGAUUCAUGCAACAGACCUCACUUAGUGAAAUACAGCUUUGUUGUUGUUGUAUCUUUUGAAACUCAGCUUUUUUUUCCCUGUUGGUAAACGUUUAUAUUGAGUACGUACUAUCUGAAAACUGUAUAAGGAGACAAUAACAAUUUGAAAUUGUUCGUUAUGAGUCAAAUUGCAUACCCUUUAUUUAUCUUUUAUAUAUCAGCAUAGAAAAUUAUCACUAGACUGUAAAGUUAGUGACCACUCAAUAACUCACUUUUUUUUUUAAAUACAACAAUAUAUAUUUCACUUGUCAAGAUAGAGAGAGAUCCAAUAGGAUUGUUCAAGAACCAAGAAUCUAGAGAGAGAAAGAGAAGACGAAGAGUUGUAACUGUUAUAUUGAUUACUUAAUGAAGAGGUUUAUAUAGAAACAAAUCUCUAACAAUCUAACAAACUUACUUUACAAUCAAUUACAAUCGUAAAUCACUCAAUAUAUUCCAACAUGGUAAUGCUAGGAAGACUAAAUUUAGAAACUAAAUUUGCAAACUAAAUGAUGUGUCACCAAUUGGAAUAAGCAAGUUUAUCAACGUUUAAGUAAUAAACCAAUUAUCAACUUUCAUGUCUUUUAGUUUCCAAUACUUUGUCUACAAAUUUAGUCUCUCUAACAUUACCCAUCCCAACAACACCAAGGGGAUAGGAGAAUAAAUUGGUUGUGAACUCGUCAUUUCUAAUAUUCGAAGACUUCUAAUUUACAAAUGAAGAAAAUAUCAUUAAAUUGUAGUACUAAAUAAUUUUAAGUCACAAACUCUUUAAAAUUGGAGAACAGAUACUUCACACAAUGGCUUAGGUCACAGACUCUUUAGUAAGGGCUUUAAGCAAAGGACAAAACAUUUUGUGAUGCCUCUUUUUGCAACUUUGAUCAUGUACGUAGCUAGAGAAAAAGUUAUGAAUUCUUUGACCAAAAAGCCUUGUAUUAUUGAAAAGUUUCUGGUCAAAAAAUUCAUUCUCUAACCCCGCAUUUGACCAAUAUCUUUUCAUGAAACCAAUUACGUGCAAUUGCUUUACAGCUUUCUCUGUUUUGGCCUUAUCGAGCUGCUUUGCAAUUGCAUGCACAAAUGGCGUAUUAAUCGAAAACGCACGAUCGAAGAGAAAAAAGCUUUUGCUUUCUAGCUCUAUUAGUUAAUCAGUGUUGAAUUCAUUUAGAUAGAGACCACAUUGGUCAGCAGGACAAAUGAUACUUGAUAAUUGAUAAAAUUAAAUUAAAAAAAGUUGAAAAAUGAUACUUGAUAAUUGAUUAAAAAAAUGAAAGUGAUUUACUUGAUGGUGAUAUACACAUAUUAUUUAAAGUUUUUGAUGGUGAUAUGUUUUGUGUACAUAGCAUGAUUGGCGUAACUUAUUUGUCAUGGAUCAAAAUUUAUUGCUUGUCACAGUAAAUUUCUCUAGCUUUAAUCUUACUUUUUUUUAGUGUUUCUUUCUGCUCAAUUGCUUGUGAAUUCGGAGUUGUCUUUCCUAUCCUAGGGCCACUUGUUCUGAAAAAAUCAAGGUACUAGCAGUAGCUUUAACGAGAAACCCAUUGCUAUAUAUGUAUUGAGUUCUAAAUCAAUCAAAGGUUUUUAUAGAAAACAUAGAAGAACAAGAGAAAGAAAACAUAGCAAGUCCUUAAGCAAUCAAGGGUUUCUAUAGAAAACAUAGAAGAACGAGAGAAAGAAAACAUAGCAAGUCCUAAAGCAAUCAAGGAUUAUGCACUUUUGUAAAUCAUUGGUGAUAAGAAAGCACUAAGCACUACUGUUAGAAAUUAAAACGUUAGUUUUUCAAUAAAAAAAAUCCAAGUACUUCUUUGAAAAAAACACUUGGGACACUUGCUAAGUGCUUUUUGAAGAAGUACUUGCCACUUGCUAAGUGCUUCUUCAUAAAAUACUAAAAAUUGCUUUCAUAAACCAUUAUGUAAUAUUACCUUUUCUAAAACCAUUGCGAAACAAGCCCAAAAUAUUAGUUUAACUUUUGAAUAUUGUUAAUCAUCCUUGCGGUAACAACUUAUUUUCUUUUUGGUACCAACUUAUUUUCCAAAUGACACACGUGGUGAAAAUGUUGUUAAUCAUAUCAAUGUGUUAGAACUCAUUAUCAAUCUUUCAGGGUAUAUCAAUUUUUUCUGUCAAAUUCUUAAAUGAUGGCUGAUGUGGCGUUUUGAAGCAUAUGCUAUCAAAUUUCAUUAUAUUCCAACCGAUGUUAGUUAUUAUUUUAUUACCAUAUAGGGCUCAAUUUGAAAUAAAAUAAACAGUAAAACUAUUUUUAAAAUUUUAUAUUCUCGUAGAUGAUGGGAUCUACUUAUUAAUAAUUAAAUAAAUGCAAUUGAAGGCAAUGUUAAAAUUGACGCUAGAAGCAUUGCUGCCAAUCCAAGUCACCUAAAAGAAUGUUCGGUUGGAGCAAUAUUUAUCAUCAAAAGUGACUAAUUGGCAUUCCACUUAAAAUUUAGCAUCUCUUUGGAAGAUGUUCUAAGUUUCUGGCUAAAAAAGUUUUGUUUGGGAAGAAAAUAACUAAGCGGUGACAAGUUUUGUAACUGAAAAUCCUAGCUAGUCUCCAAAUAUGACUUCAUGCAAAUGGGUCGAGUUGAUGCUCUAAUAUCAUCAAUAACGACUACCUGCGGACGCUCUUGCCAACAUCGUUGAUACUCUAAAAGGACUGGUCAAUUCGAAGAGUACCCCAAAAGGCCCAAGAAGGGAUUGGUAGGGUGGAGCUACAUGUUAGAUUAUACCCAGCCCAACUGCCCAAGUAUAGGAUCUUUUUCUUUCUUAAUAUACACAUUUCAGUUGUAUGUUCCUCAUAUUUUACCCAUCUCUACAAAGUGUUGAUACAUAGAUUAUGCAUAUUUUCUUCAACUUUUACCCUUAGCUAGUAUACGAAAGCCAUAUUUUCCUAUCAUAUGAAAAAACAUUUUAGUUAUACUUUUCGAAAAAAAAGACGGCAUUGGACCACAAAUUAAUAGAAACAACAACCAAUGUACCAAAAUGAUAUGUACAUCCCAAGAGAUUUGUCUUUGUAUAUUGUUCCUAAGAGAUUUAACAAUGCUACUUAAUGGGAACCAUGGUGGUGAAUGGUGGUGUGGUUGGGUGGGUAUGUGGUGGGAGUGAUGAUGGUGGAAGUGGUGGCAGCAAUUGGAGUUAAAGGUGAUGGUGGCGACAAUGGUGAUUGGGGGCACAAUUAUGAUGACCAUGAUAUAGCUAGCGUUGGCAGUGUACUAAUUACUAUAUUUCUAACAAAAAUUAUUUUUUGUACUUUUUUUUUAAUUCAAUGUCUUUUUUCUUUGGAAAAAUUACGAUCUGGUCUCUAGUUACCAAUUCUCUAUGACUGAAACGUUGUUGAAUUUCCAUUUCUAAUCAAUGUCCCUUGAUCUUGUACACAUCAACAUUUUACUAUUAACAUAUUUUCAUGUCAACUUUUUAUUUUUUAUUAAAAAUUAUAAUUUAUAAUUUCUCCUUCAUUAUUACGUUCAGAAUAUUCGUACCUGAAAUUCUCAAAUUUCUCUCACUCAAUUCACAUUAUUUAGUUUCUGGUAUUUAUAUUUGCAUUCAAACUCAUCAAUAUUAUCUUGGAUGUGUAUCGUCAAAUUCAAAUUUCACUGAAAUUUGAGUUGUACCCAUAUUUUCUCCAUGAGCUUUCAUACGAACGCAUAUAUAUUUUUGCAGAAGAUUUUGAAGGUACUAUGUCCGUUUUUUCCUACAUCGGGAAGACUUAAGAUUUUUAAUCGGGUAAUCUGUGUACCCAUAUUUCUACCAAGUCGGAAUAAUAUCAAGCGGGGAAGAAUUUCGUUUAGCUUGUAUGUUUUGCUUACAAAAUUUUUGUGUGCAUGUUUGUAAAAAUGCUUGAAUAAGUUUUUUUUUUCUUCCCUUUAUUAUGGGGCUAAAAGGCCAAGCGUGGCGUACAAUCUUAUUUGCCUUGCGUGUAUUUUUAUUGUUAGCAUAUAUGAUGACUGCAAAACCAGCUUUUCAAUCUUGGGUACAAACUAUGUGAACUACAUAUAUGCACUAUUUCAUGUAAAGCCAGAAUGAUUUGGGUUAAUGUUCUAUGCACUUUUUUUUUUCUUUUUUCUUUCCAGAUAGAAGGUGCUAUAUUGGGGACAGGCACUCAUCAGGGUAUCACUAUAUCUAUCUUAAUUUUUUUACCACACUGCGUUCUUUGAAGUAUAUAAUGAGAUUUGCUCAAGGUUUUGUGAUUUGACUUAUAUUCAUUCAAUUUUACAUAUGCUUUACUUGAAUAUUCUACUUGCUUAUUGCAAUCUGAUGUGGACGUGCGCAUGUUACAUAUUUUGGUUGUUAACGAGAAAUUUUUUUUUUGUUGAUAUAGUUAUCAACCAAAAGUCGUGAUCGUGUUAGCUGAAAUACCAAUGCGUAACAAACAUUUAUGAUUGAAGGAAAUAUUCACAGCAUUGGAAAUGAGUAUUUGGAGAAAUAUACACCAGGAGUGUGACGACCCGUCCUGAAUUAAUAUAUAUUUUAUCCUUGAAUGUGUGGAAAUAACGAUUAUACCCUCGAGUCGUAGUGAUGUGGAUGUAUGUAUAUAGUUUAAAAUUAUUUUUCCACCAAUGUGAUCAAUUGUAUUCGACGUCACGAGGGUGUUGACGCGAGUUAGGGUAUAAUUGGGUUCGUAACGAAAACGUUACGGAUGAAUAAGUGAGAUUGGGUUGGUUUUAUUUUUAUUUGGACCAAUUAGAUAGGCCCUAAAUCCCAUAGCCCAAUUAGGGCUUGAAACCAUUUUAAAUUGCCCAAUCCGGAGACACGCACACACACACGUACAACCUCACAUUCUCUCCCUUCCCUUCUCGAAUUUUCUUCUUUGUCCGUACAACCGAAGACACCACACUUAAACUGAACCAAAACCUCACAAAUCGAACUUCUAAGGACCACCUUAGAGUUCCUUGCAAGCCUGCGAGCCUAACCAUACCCUUUGUUUACAGAAAGGACGUUGGAAUCGUGAAGAACCAUAAGCUCCGGCGAGGUACCCUGUUACUCUGACAUGAUCGUGGGCAUUUCAUGAGAUUUUAAGGCUAAAAAAGGGUCCUAAACGAUUCUAUAAGGAUCCUAGGCUAAUUUUGGAGUGGUUAGAACGUCGAAAUACUCGGGUUUGUCGAGUUUCAAGUUUGGUCAAUUGUGUCGAGCUAUUUUUCGACUGUUUCCCUUUGGUUUUAGGACCUCUAAGAGGUAAGGAUUUAUUCCCCUUGUUGAGAGCUUCAAUUCCAUAUAAAAUUUGUGAAGUUUGGUGUUGAAACGAAGUAGAAAUUCAAGUUUAAAAUUUCUAGAAACUGGCGAUCGGUGUCGGAUUCCGACGAAUCAUCGGAAAAGGAAAAAGAAUAUUCCGUCAAUUUUGACGGAAUAUACUAACGGCGUUAGGUAAAGUUAACGGUAUAUGCUACUAUUUAACGGAAUAUUCCCUAACAGCGUUAAAGAUUCUGUCAGUGUGCUAGGCACGUGCCUGCGCGUGGUUGGAGCGUGUGGCCAUGCCUUGGCCGGCGAGUGGGAUGUUAGAAAAUUAUUCUAAAAAUUUAGGGAUGGUCGUGGUGUUGAGUAGGCCAUGAUGGUAUAUUCAAACACCCCAAUGGAGCAAUGUACGAGAAGUUAUUUCACAAUUUUGGUUAUGUACUUAAAAUUAAUGUUAAAAUAGUGGUUUCACAUAUAAGUGAGAUGUUUCCCGAGGACGAGCGCAGCUAGGCGAGACUUGAGGGUUACGAUCCAGCUACAUACCAGUGAGUGGGCUUUUGGUUAUAUAUAUAUAUAUAUACACAUAUUUCUAUGCUUUGCGUUUUCCCAGAAAUUUGUUUAAAUGGAUUUACGAUUUUAAAUGCCAUGUCAAUUGCAUUAUGCUUUAGAGUAUGCAUUAGUGUAGAUAUGCAUAUUGUUGCUUAUGUUGCGGACGCCCAUAGCUUCAGGUGAGUAUAUACGAUGAUAGUAUUUCUAUGCUAUGCUUUUUUGAAUUUUAUUUAGCAUGGAUUUACGAUUUUAAAUGCCAUGUCAAUUGCAUUAUGCUUUAGAGUAUGCAUUAGUGUAGAUAUGCAUAUUGUUGCUUGAUGUUGCGGACGCCCAGGUAAGCUUCAGGUGAGUAUAUAUCGAUGAUAGUGGAUGCUUGUGGUUAUACAUAGAUGCAUUUAUAGCUUAUUAUCCUGCACACCAGUGCUAGUGCUUCAGCCCGUAGCCAGGGCACAGUCCUUCACGUGAUGUUCAACUCCCGCACCGCACGCUCACCUUGGAUCCAAGUUUGGUGCACAACCCUGUCGUACAUACCACAUUAGGUGGUUCCGACUCAUAGGUGACCCGCAAUUAUUUGCGCAACCUUCACGUGAUCGUAGCACUUGAGCGUACUUAUUUGCACCCAGCCCUAUCAUAUAGACCGCAAUAGGUGGUUUCGACUCGUGUGCAGGCAUACCUGAUGAGCUAUAGGUUCAUCCGUAUAGGUCACGUUAGAUGACUUUGGUUGACAUAUUAUUUUACAGUGAUUUAUUUCACCUGGCUUACUUAUUUCCUUGCUGAGAUACUUGACAUGGCAUAUACUUGGUUUUCAGUACUCUCGGGCAUGAUUUUGAUAUACGUAUGCAUUAUUAUUUUCUAGGAAACUAUACAGGUUUUACGGUGAUGGGUUAUUACUUUUGAAAGAGAAAUGGUUUUGAAAAGCUUUGUUUUUGCCCACUCACGUUUUCAGCUUUGCACCCCUCCAAGUUCUAAUUAGAAGUUCAUGUUGGUGGCUCACGAAGACUCUACGGCGGUUUUGACAGACAUCCAUCAAUGUAAGGUCUUCUUUCAUAUCCUGUAUAAUUAGUAUUUAGCCUACUAGACUGCACUUUAGUACCUACGCUCUGAUUAUGUGUAUUUACACUCUAACACUUUCACUCAUACUUAUACUAGUCUAUUAUAAGUUAGUUAGUUUGAUUUUUUUUAUUUACCCAUAUUAUCUUAUCACCUCACUUUCUCACGGCGCACAUGGCUACGUCAUCCUCACAUAACGGCCAGCAUGCCUCAAUUUAGGUCGGGGUGUGUCAGUUUGGUAUCAGAGCUUAGGUUUCGCAGUCUUGCAUAUUUUUGGGAGUAUUCUAAUCAUUUUGAUGUCUUAUGUGAGAACUAUGCCACCUCGAAGAGAGCCAUGUAUUUCCUCCGAAUCUAAAUUUCCUGAUAUUGGCGAAUUGGGUGAAGCCAUUGCUAAUGCCAUUCAGUAUUCAUCGCGCUUUCCCCAGAGGGCUCCCUUAGAGACAGUUUAUAAUUUAAAGUUGAAUAAUUUUGUUGGUACUGAGAGGCCCGAGAGAGUUGAGCGUUAGCUCAAUCAUGUCGAGAAAACUUAUCGAGUGAUGCAGCAACAGGGGAAUUUCCCUGAGGAUAGAUGGGUUGAAAUGACUACUUGGUUUUUAGGUGAGGAGGCUGCAUCCUGGUAGAGGCAGGAAUCUUUUGAGUUGUCACCAGAAGAAGCCGCAGACCGGGAGGUUUUUAAGUAGCUAUUCUAGAAGAGAUUUGUACUUCUAGAGUAUUUAAAUCGUAAGAAGCACGGAUUCACGAGUCUAAAGCAAGGGAAAAUGUCAGCUAAUGAGUACUAUAGAAAGUUCACUGAUUUAUCUCGGUAUUGUCUGGAGAUUACUGAGAAUCCUGCUGAGAUGCUUUGACGAUUUAAGUGGGGUACUCGGAAGAAGUGGCUAUGGCGACUACUACUCCCUGUUCGACAUAUCAAUAGUUUUAUGAGAUUUUACUACGGGUUGAGGAUUCUAAAAACAUGCCCAGUGACAGUGAGGAAGAGGAAGAAAAAGAUAAUAACCAAAAGAAAAAUAAUAAUAAAGAUAAAUGGCAGUCAUCGCAGGGUCUUCGCAAGACGCAGAGUUCGAGUUCUUCUAAUAAUAAAGAUAAUAACCAAAAGAAAAAUAAUAAUAAAGAUAAGUGGUACUAGUUCUAGUUCUUCUAAUGGGAGUUCGAGUUCCACUGUGCAGCGGAGAGGUGGCCGGUUUUCAAGAGGUUCCUGGUUCCAGAGACAGAGAGAUUCUAGCAGUUCAGGUGCCCUACUAUGUCGCAGGUGCAAUAAUCGGCAUUUUGGGGAGUGUAGGCAAGGUAGCAGUCGAUGUUUCACGUGUGGCCAAAUUGGACGUCGAGCUAUUCAGUGCCCUUAAAAUAAGCAGAAGCCCCAGCCACUUGCCUUGCCACCAGCAGCUCCUAUUCAGCAAGUCCCGGGGCCUAGUGCUUAUACCCAUACGGGUUAUGGUGGAACAUAUCAUUAUUUGGGGGAUAUAGCUCCAUAUUCUGGAGGACCGUAUCAGUACCCACAUGAUUUGUGUCAGCAGAGUGGUUACAUUCAGUAUCCAGGAGGUUAUGCGUUAUAUCCGACAUAUCCAGCUGAUGGAUGACAGUGGUAUCCCAAAUGACAGUCCCAGAACAUGGAGGUUGCUUUUAGCAGUGAAGGAUCAUCGAGGCAGCCUAAUCAGCGUGGUCAGGGACGUGGAAACUAAGCUACAGGGGUCGUGGAGGACGAUAACAGCCACAUGGUCAUGUUCACCAUAUUACUCUGCAAGAUGCCCAGAACAAUCCUGAUUUUAUGAUGGGUACGUUGAAUAUUCUUGGCCAUUUUGCUAGAAUAUUGAUUAAUUCUGGUGCUACAUGCUUUGUUAUUUCUCUUACGUUUGCUCAGACGACACAACCCUACCUUACACCUCUCGGUUAUGAGUUAGAGUUUUCGAUGCUUAGAGGCGAGACAUGUUAUAUUAACUGGGUAUAUCAAGGAUGUCCUGUUCUAGUGGAGGAUGUCGUCAUGGCAGCUAAUCUUGUUCCAUUAGAUAUCGUUGAUUUUGAUGUUAUUCUGGGCAUGGAUUGGUUACAUUACAAUCGUGCCAAGAUGGAUUGUUACAAGAAGACAGUUACUUUUCAUCGGCCAGGUUUGCCUAUGGUUACCUUUAUAGGUGUACUUAGUGGAUUAAAGCACGACAUCAUUUCUGCCGUGAGGGCCAAUCGGCUAUUGAGGAAAGGUUGUCAAGGUUAUUUGGCUCACGUGGUAUUGAAUGAAGAUACGCCUACCUGUGUGGAGGAUGUACGGGUAGUUAGGCAUUUCCCUGAUGUUUUUUCGGAUGAUUUACUUGGAUUACCACCAGAUAGAGAAGUAGAGUUCACUAUUGAUUUACUUCUAGGUAUAUAUCCUAUUUCCUUAACUCCAUAUCGAAUGGCUCCUGCUGAGUUGAGGGAAUUGAAAAUCCAGUUGCAGGAAUUGGUUGAUAAGGGUUUCAUUCAGCCUAGUACUUCACAUUGGGGAGCCCCAGUUUUAUUUGUACGGAAGUAAUAUGAGACCUUGAGGCUGUGUAUCAAUUAUCGACAGUUGAAUCGGGUAAUGAUUAAAAACCGUUAUCUGUUGCAGUGUAUAGAUGAUUUAUUUGACCAGCUUCGAGGUGCGUGCGUGUUCUCCAAGAUUGAUUUGAGGUUCGGGUAUUAUUAAUUGAAGAUUAGAAGUGAAGAUGUCCCUAAGACGGCUUUUAGGACUUGAUAUGGUCAUUACGAAUUCCUCGUGAUGCCAUUCGAGUUAACUACGCACCCGUAACUUUUAUGGACCUGAUGAAUGGAGUAUUUAGGUCAUACCUGGACAUGUUUGUUAUUGUCUUUAUUGAUGAUAUUUUAGUGUAUUCUAAGUCUAAAGCAGAACACACUUGACAUCUUACUCUGGUUUUGAAGAAAUUGAGGGAACGCCAAUUAUAUGCUAAGUUUAGCAAAUGCCAGUUUUGGUUAGAUCAAGUGGCAUUCUUGGGGCAUGUAAUAUCAGCCUAGGGUAUUUAGGUGGACCCACGGAAAGUAGCUGUAGUUCAAAGUUGGGAGCAGCCACGAACCGUCACUAAGGUACGAAGUUUUCUGGGCUUAGCAGGUUAUUAUCGACGGUUUGUUAAAGAUUUUUCAACCAUAGCUUUACCACUGACAAGGUUGACUAGAAAAGAUGUUAGAUUCGAGUGGAAUGAUGAUUGUGAGCGGAGAUUCUAGCAGCUAAAGUAUUGUCUCACUCACGCACCUGUUUGGCGUUUCCAGACGACGGUGGUAAUUUUGAGAUUUACAGUGAUACUUCCUUAAAUGGCUUAGGUUGCAUAUUAAUGUAGCAUGGUAGGGUGAUUGCAUCACGACAGUUGAAGCCACACGAGAUGAACUACCCUACCCAUGAUCUUGAGCUAGCAGCCAUCAUUUUCGCCUUGAAGAUUUGGAGACAUUAUUUAUAUGGAGAAAAGUGCAAGAUUUUCACAUAUCAUAAAAGCCUUCAGUACCUAUUCACCCAAAAAGAUCUUAACCUUCGGUAACAAAGAUAGAUAGAAUCACUUAGUGAUUAUGAUUGCAUGAUAGAGUAUCAUCUUGGUCGUGUAAAUGUGGUGGCAGAUGCACUUAACAGGAAAUCUCGAGGCCGUAUUAAUGCUUUAUAUGCUUACCAUAUCCCUCUUCUCAUAGAAUUGAGAUCUACUGGAGUUGAUUUGGGAGUGAUAGAUCGGGAAGAAGCUUUACUUGCUAGUUUCCAGGUCAGACCAAUUUUAAUUGAUCGUGUACUAGAAGCUCAAGUGGAGGAUGAGGAAUCCCAGGAAUUAGCCGAGGCAGUGUCACGAGGGAAGAAGAAAGAUCUCAGAAUUUGGGAAUCUGAUGGCAUGCUUAUGCAAGGAAGUCGAAUGUACGUGCCAAAUAUUACAGAAUUAAAGAAAGAUAUUCUUGAUGAAGCGCAUAUAUCGGCCUAUGCGAUGCAUCCUGAAAGUACCAAGAUGUAUCACACUAUUCGACUUUCUACUACUGGCCUAGUAUGAAAAGAGAGAUUGCUGAAUAUGUGAGUAGAUGUGCAAUUUGCCAGCAAUUCAAAAUUGAGAGAAAUAAGCCUUUUGGGUUAAUGCAGCCACUUCCCGUUCCCUAGUGGAAAUGGGAAAAUAUUACUAUGGAUUUUGUGUAUAAGCUUCCUCGUACACGAAAUGGUUAUGAUAGCAUUUGGGUGAUAGUGGAUCGGCUUACUAAGUCAGUACACUUUAUACUAGUUCGAGAGAACUAUUCUUUAAGCCGAUUUGCCAAGUUAUUUAUAUCAGGGAUUGUUAAGUAUCAUGGGGUUCCGGUUAGUAUUAUUUCUGAUCAGGAUCUUAGGUUCACUUUUAAGUUUUAGGUGGCAUUUCAGGAAGCUCUUGGUUCAAGAUUGCAUUAUAGUACGACAUAUCAUCCACAGACAGACGGGCAAUCCGAGAGGACUAUCCAGACACUAGAAGAUAUGUUGAGAUCUUCAGUGCUACAGUUUGGCGACGCUUGGCAUAAGCGUUUAGAUUUGAUGGAGUUUGCCUACAAUAACAACUACCAUUCUAGUAUUGGUAUGUCACAUUUCAAGGCACUAUAUGGUAAAUCUUGUCAUACUCCUCUAUGUUGGUUAGAAGUUGGUGAAAGGGUGUUAGUGGGCCCAAAGAUUGUUGAUGAGACUACCCAGAAUAUUCAGGUAAUUAAAGCUAACCUGAAAGCCCAGGAUCGACAGAAGAGCCUUGUUGAUAAACACGCCACUGAUAGGGUGUAUAAAGUUGGAGAUUGGGUAUUUUUGAAGCUAUCUUUGUGGAAAGGCGUUGUGUGGUUUGGUAAGAAAGGUAAGUUAAGUCUUCGCUACAUUGGACCGUACCAGAUCACCGAGCGAGUCGGUGAAGUCGCAUACAGACUUAAGUUACCUUCAGAAUUAUCACAGGUGCACGAUGUUUUUCAUGUUUCUAUGUUUCGUCAUUAUGUCUCUGAUCCAGCACACGUGAUACCUCCUCAGACACUAGAAAUUAAUCCAGACUUGACAUAUGAUGAGGAACCAGUGACGAUCUUAGACUGGAAGGAUAAAGUUCUGAGGAACAAAACUAUUCGCAUGGUGAAAGUUUUGUGGAGGAACCAUUCAAUAGACGAGGCUACUUAGGAGAUGGAGGAUCGUAUGUGAGAUUUAUAUCCACGUUUGUUUUAUGGAUAUUGAUAUGUUGUAUGCUAGCGUACAAAAAUUUCGGGGAUGAAAUUUUAUACUCUCGAGUGUGUGGAAAUAUCGAUUAUACCCUUGAGUCGUAGUGAUGUGGAUGUAUGUAUAUCGUUUUAAAUUAUUUUUCUUGCCAAUGUGAUCAAUUGUAUUCGACGUCACGAGGGUGUUGACGCGAGUUAGGGCCGAAUUGGGUUCGUAAAACGUUACGGAUGAAUAAGUGAGAUUGGGUUGGUUUUAUUUUUAGUUGGACUAAUUAGAUAGGCCCUAAAUCCCAUAGCCCAAUUAGGGCUUGAGACCAUUUUAAAUUGCCCAAUUCGGAGACACGCACACAUACACGUGCAACCUCACAUUCUCUCCCUUCCCUUCUCGAAUUUUCUUCUUUGUCCGUACAACCAAAGACACCACACUCAAACUGAACCAAAACCUCACAUAUCAAACUUCUAAGGACCACCUUCGAGUUCCUUGCAAGCCUGCGAGCCUAACCAUACCCUUUGUUCAUAGAAAGGAAGUCGGAAUCAUGAAGAACCAUAAGCUCCGGCGAGGUACCCAGUUACUCCGACAUGAUCAUGGGCAUUUCACGGGAUUUUAAGGCUAAAAAGGGGUCCUAAAUGAUUAUAUAAGGAUCCUAGGCUAAUUUUGGAGUGGUUAAAACGUCGAAUUACACGGGUUUGUCGAGUUUCAAGUUUGGCUGGUUGUGUCGAGCUAUUUUUCGACUGUUUCUCGUCGGUUUUAGGACCUCUAAGAGGUAAGGAUUUGUUCCCCUUGUUGAGGGCUUCAAAUCCAUAUAAAAUUUGUGAAGUUUGGUGUUGAGACGAAGUAGAAAUUCAAGUUUUAAAUUUUUCCAGAAACCAGCGACACAACGGCGACCGGCGCCUGAUUUCGACGAAUCAUCAGAGAACGUAGGAGAAUAUUCUGUCAAUUUUGACUGAAUAUACUAACGGCGUCAGGUAAAGUUAACGGUCUAUGCUACUAUUUAACGGAAUAUUCCCUAACGGCGUUAAAGAUUUUGUCAGUGUGCCAGACACAUGCCUGCGCGUGGUUGGAGCGUGUGGCCGUGCCUUGGCCGGCUCGUGAGGGCGCGUGGGAUGUUGGAAAAUUAUUCUAAAAAUUUAGGGAUGCUUGUGGUGUUGAGUAGGCCACGAUGGUAUAUUCAAACACCCCAAUAGAGCAACAUAUAAGAAGUUAUUACACAGUUUUGGUUAUGUACUUAAAAUUAACGUUAAAAUAGUGGUUUCACAUAUAAGUGAGACGUUUCAGGAAGAUGAGUGCAGCCAUGCGAGACUCGGGGGUUACGAUCCAGCUACAUACAAGUGAGUGGGCUUUUGGUUUUCUAUAUAUACGUAUAUAUAUGCAGUUUGCGUUUUCCCAGAAAUUUGUUUAAAUGGAUUUACGAUUUUAAAUGUCAUGUCAAUUGCAUUAUGCUUUAAAGUAUGCAUUAGUAUAGAUAUGCAUAUUGUUGAUUGAUGCUGUGAACACCCAGGUAAGCUUCAGGUGAGUAUAUAUCAAUGAUAGCGGAUGCAUUGUUUGUUGUUAUACGUAGAUGCAUUUAAAGCUCAUUAUCCUGCACCCCGAUGAUAGUGCUCCAGCCCAUGGCCAGGGCACAGUCCUCCACGUGAUGUUCAUCUCCAUCACCGCACGCUCACCUUGGAUCCAAGUUUGGUGCAUAGCCCUGUCGUACAGACCACAUUAGGUGGUUCCGACUCGUAGGUGACCUGCGAUUAUUCAUACAGCCUUCACGUGAUAGUAGCACUUGAGCGUACUUAUUCGCACCCAGCCCUAUCGUACAAACCACAAUAGGUGGUUCCAACUCGUGUGUAGACAUACCUGAUGAGCUAUAGGUUCAGUCGUACUGGUCACGCUAGAUGACUCUGGCUGACAUAUUAUUUUACAGUGAUUUAUUUCACUUGGCUUACUUAUUUCAUUGCUGAGAUACUUGACAUGGCAUAUACUUGGUUUUCAUUACUCUCGGGCAUGAUUUUUAUAUAUGUAUGUAUUAUUAUUUUCUGGGAAACUAUACGGGUUUUACAGUGAGGGGUUACUACUUUUGAAAAGAGAAAUGGUUUUGAAAAGCUUUGUUUUUGCCCACUCACGUUUUCUGUUUUGCGCCCCUCCAGGUUCUAGUUAGAAGUUCGUGUUGGUGGCUCAUGAGGACUCUAUGACGGUUCUAAUAGACAUCCAUCAAUAUAGGGUUUUCUUUCAUAUCCUGUAUAAUUAGUAUUUAGCCUGUUGGACUGCACUUUGGUACCUACGCUCUGAUUAUGUGUAUCUACACUCUAACACUUUCACUCGUACCUAUAUACUAGUCUAGUGUAAGUUAGUUAGUUUGAUUGUUUUUUAUUUACCCAUAUUAUCUUAUCACCUUUACUUCCGCACGGCGCACAUGGCUACGUCACCCUCACUUGACGACCAGCAUGUCUCAAUUUAGGUCGGGGUGUGUCAAGGGAGUAAGGUAUAUUUAUCAAACUCUUGAAAGACCUACAUCACUCGUGCAAAUCAAGGAUUUGAAGGCGGAGUGGAAAAUUUUAUUCAAUUGCUGAAGCUGCACUUUCUUUGGAUCAUCCUUUAUUUUUGGUUCGAAUUGGAGCCACCAAGCACUCUGCAUUGCUUAAGUCUGAUAUUCAUAUAUACCCGUUUUUUUUUUUAACAAAAAUUUUCAUACCUUUUAACUUCAAGUUAAUGAAUAAAUUCUAUAUUAGGUAUAUUGUUGAAUUUCAGACUACUAAACCAACACAAAUGUAAUUUUGUUUGUACCAAAAAAAUAACAAUCUUGGUACAUUAUGAUAUGCAUGCAAUAUUUCUCCUUCGUGUAUGAUGGAGUUUUCCUUCUGCUUUUUUUUUCUUUAUUAAUCAUUUUUAAUCUGUAUAUCAAGAAAAAAAAAAAAAAUAUAUAUAUAUAUAUAUAUAUAUAUAUAUAUAUAGCAUAACGCUCGUGAACAUAAGCUAGUUAAAUAGAUCGAUCACAAAGUACAUCAUAUUUUUUGACAAAAAUAACGUCAAAAUUAAAAAUGAAACUCAUAACUAGACAUGAUUGUGUAGUCUAAAUGUAUCGAAUAUUGGAUACAUGGCCAUGACCGUAUGUUGGUGACCUGUCUACGACCAAUUAGAUUCAUAUCAUUCAAAAAUGCACCUAGAUAUGUUGCUUUAUACUUGAGCAGUUUAUCUUCAUCGAAUUUUUCCAGUAUCGGCCACAUCUUUGACAUUUGCUCCAUAUAGUAUAGCACUGAGACACCACAAUCAAGGCUGCAUAUCAUCAUUCUCAUAAAUUGUUAAGCUAAUAUAUGAAUAUUUUUUUCCAAAUACAAACUAAUAGGAAUGACAAAAUAAGUUGUACUCACGAGCCUGGAGCUUGAUGUGGCCAAUUUUGGACAGGCACCAUCGACCAAUCAAUGGCCAAGUCACAUGCACUAUCAUUCUAGUCUUCUGUAAUGGCCAAGUCUAUGCGACUAAAAAAAUUGGAAUUCCAAAAUGUUAUUGUGAAGUCGGUUGUCGGUUACUUGAUUUGGAGUAGCAACUAGUAUUUUCUAAGGUCCCAAUUCGCCUUAGCUUCCCAACAAUACAACGAAGUUUAUAUGCCUCUGCGUGGCACCCACGUUUGGUUUCAAAAUUCAACCUUUGUGAUUUGACCAGAGUAAAACUUUAUCACUCGUAGUUUCUAUGAAAGUAUGUUACUAAUUUACAAUAGUCAAACGAAACAAAAGUCUGGAGAAAAAUGGCGUGGAGAUCAUGAUUCACAUCUUCAUAUAAAAACAAACAAUCUUUCCUUUUGGUUUAGCAUUCAUUCCUUACCCAUGAUACAUAUAUAGAAGGGCUGAUUAGGUCCUCAAUCUAACAAAAAAUCUCUUAGUUUAGGUGCUACAAAAUUAAGUAGGUAUUCCAAGUUCACAUGUUUAGGCUCCGUUUGAUGAUCAUUCUUUAUUAGUUUUGUUUUUCCUUACUAGAGAGGGAGAAAUUAGAUAGAAUGAUGCAUGAAUCAAGGAUGUGGAGGGACCGUGGUAGAAGAGAGUGGAGGGAAAUGGUCAUGAAAUAACAUAUACAAAAAUAAAAUGAUGCAUGAAUCAGCUUUUAGUUUUUGAUUUUCAAGUUGUGCAUUUGUUCCAUGUCCUUCCAUAUCCUUAAUACUAUCAUUAUUGAUCUCUCAUUAUUCUUUAUAUUUCAUCUUCGUUUAAAAAUGUAAAACUAAAACUAAAAACGAAAUGAUUAUCAAUGAGCCCUUAAGUUUUUUAUAUGGAAGAGUUUGCCUAUUGUCUUGUAAUAAAACUUUCAAAGGAGUUACUUCAUAGCCGUCAAAAGUCUUCAAGGGAGUGACUUGAUAGCCAUAUAUCAGUGAAUGUUUCAUUCUAGUAGUUUAAAUAAAAUUAGGAAUCUCAUUCUUUUAAAAAAGGGACCUACGUUGCAUCAAUCCAAACAUUCGUUUAAGCAAAUGAUCUUAAAAAGGGUAAUUAACUUGAUAGUUCGACAGACGAUAAACCACUAAAAUUUGUAACUUAAAAGAGUUAUGUGCACCCGACAUUUUGUUUGUAGCAUUACCCUUAUAUUUUUUAUGGAAGACAUCGGUCCACCAUGCACGACCAGCACAAAGUAGCAGCAACCCACUACGGUGCUAUGUUGAACGUCAUACAACUCGUGCACCUGCAACCACUCGUCAACUCACUGAAAGGAAGUUUGAAUGGUAAAUUGGGCCAUAUAUACAAAAAUUCCCCAUACACACACACACACACACACACACACAUAAAUACCCUUCAACUUUUUUCUGGGUUAUGAAUCUCUUUGUCUGGUUGGUGAUGAAUUGUCAAAUGCGUACUGAAAAAAGUUCAAGUAACCUAUAGGUAAAUUGGGCCAUAUAUACAAAAAUUCCAUAUAUAUAUAUAUAUAUACACACACACACAUACACAUAUAUACCGUUCAACUUUUUUCUGGGUCAUGAAUCUCUUUGUCUGGUUGGUGAUGAAUUGUCAAAUGCGUACUGAAAAAUGUUGAAGUAACCUAUUCAGAAAGUUGAAAUUAGCGCACGUUCCCCUCCUUUUCUUAAAGUGAGUUUGAAAUCUACUCAAUAAGAAUGAUAUUUCGUCAUUUGACUCAUUAUACAACGUGAUAAAUGGUUUACCCGAGCAAUUGAUGUACUUUUCAAGAAAUGUAACAUGAUAAUUGCAACACGCCUCGUAUAAUAUGUUGACAAAAACAUAUUCAUGUCACUUACGUACUAUGAUCUAGUUGAAAUUUUCUUCACUUAUAAGUUAAAUGUCUUAUAUUCAAAAUCUCGUGAAUGAUGAGUUAAGUACAUAUUUAUUUUGCCACCUUUAAGUACAAAUAUAUCGUUAUGUUUUCAUUAAAGGGGGUAAAGCCCAUCUUCAUAGCUUAUAUGCCAUGAAUCAUAUCCACAAGCUAUCGAAAAAAUGAUGUGAUAUCCACACAUCCUAUUUUACUUCUCACACAUCCUUUUAAUUUUCAGCAUUUGGAUCAGAUGAAUUGAAGAAGAUCAACGGACAGAAAUUAACAAGGGGUGUGUGGGAAGUAAUUUAGGGUGUGUGGAUAGCACACCCCAUCGAAAAAUCCUCAGCCUUUAAGAUACAGGAACAAAAGGCUGAGCACCAAGUCCAAAAGAAAAUAAAGUACCAAUCACAAAUGCAAGGCAGAAUUUGAGACAGAUGACCAAUUGAGGGAAUUCUAAGAAUUAGGUUAGUUUUUUAUGGAUUUGGAGCCCAUCCGGAUUCAAAUUGUAGGUAUCUUAGGAAUCCUCACAUUCUAACCGUUUAUCGUAUAUUGUGCAACUAAAAUCAUUUAAAAAUUUUAUUUAAAAUUAAACACAAAUAGUACCUAACAAAAACUGACUUCACAAUGUACGAUGAAGGGCUAGGAUUUGAGGAUUCCUAGGAUCCUCACAAAGAGGAUUUGAAGAGAAUCCUUAUCCGUUUUUUAAUAGAAAAAAAAAACGAAAAAGAAUCCUCGCUAUAUACUUUUCCUAGGGAUUCCAUGAUCUCACCUGUUCAUCGUACAUCGUGCGGUUAGAAAUCAUUUCAAAAUUUAAAAUUAAAUAUAAAUAUUACCUAACGAAAACUUACUGCAUGAUAUACGAUAAACGAGUGAGAUCACGAAAUUCUUAGGAUCCAUAGGAAAAGGAUCCGGUGAGGAUUCUUUUUCCAAAAAACCGGAUCCUUUUCCCAAAAAAAACAGCUUGUUGUAUCCAUCUGUGUUAGGCAUUUUGUCUAAAGGCGACAUCCACACUUUCAAAGUUUCAACUUUCAAGGGGUCUGAGGUUUUAAUUCAUAGGGUCUUCACCAAUUCCUAUCAAUAAUAAAGAAAACGACGGUAAAGCCCUAUUGUGCAUAAUAACACCAAAUAAAGUAGGAUGGAAGAUUCAAGACGCCUACAAUAAUAUCUUGUUGGGAUUUUAUGUUUAUUUAAAUUUAUUAGAAUUUUUGUUAAACAAAAUAUUUAUUAGAAUUAGUUUUAUUAACUUUGGUUUCCUAUUUUUAUGGAGAAAAUCUUUUCUUAAACUGCAUUUACUAUCAGUUCAAACGACGUUUUGAGAUUUAGGCAAUCGCCAAUUAUAUAAUUGAAGGAAGUUAAAAUUUCACUAUAAAAAAAUUGUCAAAUUUCACUAUAAAAAAAAUUGUCAAUAUGAAAAGUAGUCCAAUUAACUUACUUAUAUAAGCUCAUACAAGGUCUCACCAUCCUACAAUAUAAGAUUCAUCUCAACACGCUCUAUCACGUGUAGCGAAUUUUCAACAAAUCGAGUACAUGGAGUGCGCGUAACCAUUAGGCUCACACAUAAGGCAAACUAGUCUAAUACCAUGAAGGAAGUCAAAGUUCCACUAUAAAGUCAGUUGACAAUAUAUAUGAGGAAAAACUUACUUGUACUAAAGCCGCAUGAGGAUUUUUGGACCUCGGGAAUUUUUUGACAUUUGGGAUUGGUUCAAUAGAAUAGCAGAUUUAAUGGUAGAACGAAGCACACACGACAUGCCCUACCAGAAAAUAGGGGUUACUCUACAAAACUUUGCCCGACGAACCGCAUUUCGUCUAGAAAAGGUAUUUUACUCGACGAAUUAUUUAGUUGGGACAAAGCUGGUCAACCAUUUAAGUUUUACUCAAAACCUUUACAAGACCGAAUAGCUAGAGUUGUAAGGCAAGGUUAUAUUCGUCCGGCAAGUUUUUGACGCCAAGAGAAAUAAAAUGGUGCUUAAUACCUUAAAGUUUGCCCGACGAAAUUUGUGUUCAUCGGCUAGGUCUACACCCGAUGUGCCUCUUCAUCAGCCAAAACUUUCUUUGUAGGUGUCAUUAAAGAUAUUUUUUAUGACAUUGAACAUGCAUGUCACCGCCUAUGAGACUGAGGUUAGAGGAAGAAGAUAAAGACCAACAAUUGAAGAUCCCCCAUUCAAAAAACCAAGUUAUAUAUAUAUAUAUAUAUAUAUAUAUAUAUAUAUAUAUAUAUAUAUAAAUGAUGAAAUGAACCACCAUAUGGAUGUGAAUCAUAACUUCAAGAUAUUAAUCAAAAUUUGCAUAAAUCAUGUUAAAUAAGGGUUGGUAACUGGGAAAAAAAAGUUAAAGAUAAGAAGUUGCAAUUUUUAUUUUCAUUACGAAAGUAUAUAUAUAUAGUGGGUAUGAAACAAACGGACCCAUAAAUGGCCACACAUAGUAACGUUAUUAGCAACUACAAAGUCGAUAUCUUUUAGUGCUUGUUGACAAAGUCUUUGAUCCCAGAAAUUAGAGCCUCAGUUUGCGCAGCCGUUUGAGGAUCCAUAUCCACCGCAAUCUUGUUAAGAUAAAAGCUAUGACUCAUCCCUGGACUAAUCAGAAGCUCCACAUCCUUCUUAGCCUUCUUCAUAGCGUCAUAGUAUUCCAUCUCAGUGUCUAUUAUCAUGUCCAUCUCACCAAUACAUAGAAGAAACGGCGGCAGCUUCAGAGUAUCCAAAGGCGGUGCUUCGGGGCCCAUCGGACAAGUUAUUGGAUGGUCCUUGGUCGACCCCACUGGCAGUGCCAAGCUCAAAAACUUGUCCACCAUGUCUAGGGUUAGCAAAGGUGACUCUGGCUGCUCCAACUCCGACCUACUCCUCACCGCUCGAACGAAGCCUGGGUGGAUAGGAAUCCCACCCGCUAGCCUUAACGGACUCAAAUCCACCUUCCCUGCUCGAGCGGCAAUUUCAUGCACGAGAUUUCCACCCGAGCUAUCCCCUAUGAGAAAGACACGGUUGAAGUCUGCGUGGCUGACUAGCCAUUGCUCGUAUGACUCGCCUUGUGCAACGGAACGAAGCCACAGCAACGCAGAGAAGCCGUCGAUGAUUGGAGCGGGGAGACGGUGCUCAGGCGCGAGACUUAAGUAGACUGAGAUGCAAAUGGCUUUGGCUGAGCGUGCAAGCUUGGUGUACAUUUGGUAGUACAUGUACCAAUCCGCUUGGCUAAUACAAAAGCCACCUCCAUGGAGGUGAAGGAUUAUGGGGAGCUUCGAAGAAUCCUCCGGGUUUGUCUCCGGUAGAUAAAUUCGUAGCCGGAGGUUUUCGUUAACGUAAACAUCUCGGGUGGCAACUCCAUCGAUGAAUUCAUCAUGAGGUGCGACCGGCUCAGUCAUGAACUGGACCUGAGGCGGUCCAGUCCACGUCCGGUCAACUGAGCCAUCAGCGAACAAUCUCAGCCAACCGGACACCUCAUCGACAAGAACCUUCUGGCAGACCAUGGUUGAUAGUGUGGCUUACGUAAUAACCCUUAGUAGUACUAUUAGGUAGUGUCUGAGUAUGUGAAUGUGUGGAUAGGAUACGAGACCUUGACACGACCCUUCAUAUAUAGGAGUUGGAACUUGGAAGUGCGUGGAAACUGAGAAGGUUGUGAGAAACUGGGAGGAAGGUUCAACGCGGUUAUGUUUUUCAAAGAUGGAAAAUUACGCAAAUAAAAAAUAGUACGUCAUCACCAACUAGAUUAGAAUAUAAAUUGACAUGAUUGACACUACCUGUUCCUGAAUAUUGCAUUUGUGUCAUUAAAUCGGAUAUAUAGAGUUAGGGUUAAUGGUAGGGAUGAUUUUUGGAUUGUAGAUUUACGAAACUUUGACUGAGUUUUAAUCGUGUGAUCUUCAUGUUAUACAUAGCCAUACUUGUGGUUAGUAAUAAGGUUUAGCUAGUAUAAUAAAUUAGGGUUUAGGCUUUAAUUGUUACGACUCGCUCUUAGUUUUAUUGUAUUUUAAUGUCUGAAAUUGUAAAAUGACAAAAAUUCCAGGGCUGAGUGGAAAUCUGAUGUGGACAUUUGAGCUCACUUUAGAUUUUGUCCCCUUACUUGCCAUAUUCUUGUAAUACUCGUCCAUAUUGUUAGGGGGUUACGGGAGUUACCAUAGUUAAAGGUCUUCAAUGACAAUACAUUAGUGUUUUCGCUGUUAUGUUGUUAUUAGCCUUUAUAAGGAUAUAAUGGGUUUUCCGUUUUAUUGUAACCACUAGGAAGAUAUCUUAUAGUUUGUGUAUAAAUAUAGGUUGUAAUAUCUCAAAUGAUUAUCAUUGAAUAUACAGUUUUUACAUGGUAUCAAAGCCUGAAGCUUUUUUUCUGCAAUGGCUUCAGGUAGUACGUCCUCUUCGACCAUUUCCCCUAUCUCUAUUCCCAAUAUCUCUCAUCUUAUCUCUGUCAAACUUUCUGAAACCAACUUUCUUGUAUGGGAAAGCCAAGUCAAACCUUUCUUGUUAGGCCAAAAUCUUUGGCUUUUUGUUGAUGGAUCUUAUGCAUGUCCUCCCUCCCUCUACUUUGUCCUCUUCUUCAAGUGAUGACAAAUCUCCUACUCCUCCUCCACCUACACCCAAUCCUGAAUACACAUCUUGGUUCCAAACUGAUCAAAGCCUUAUUAGUAUUCUUCGUGCCAUACUGUCUGAAGUCGUUCUUCCUCAAGUCAUUGGGUUCUCCACCUCGAAAGAUAUAUGGGAUUGUCUCUAGCAAAAUUUAUCGCAGUAAUCACUAGCCAAUGUUGCCCAACUGAAAUUUCGUUUCUUCUCUCUCACCAAAGGCUCCAAAACUAUUUAUGACUACGUUGCUCAGGCCAAAAGUUUGGCUGAUGAACUCACUGAUAUCCAAGAACCUAUGUCCAAUUCUGACUUGGUUACUUAUAUACUUCGUGGUUUGGGACCUGAUUACCAGAUGCUGGUAACGGCUCUUCUGAAUUUUCCACCACUUCUACCCUUUUCUGACCUCUGCACUAAACUGCUUGCUUUUGAGGGGCAACAAGCUUUUGCAGCCCAACUCAAUUCUACAAACUCAUAUUCUGCCAUGAUCGCAACACGUCCACCGCGUAGCCAGCGCCCCUUUCAUGCUCGUGAUCCCUCUGGCCCAAGGCUACCCAUCUGUCUCUUUAAUAGGCCUCCAUAGAACUUUUACCGUUAACAACAACUUGCCUUCAAUGCUCAAGGUAUUCUAGGUCCUCAUCCACCUCAUCAGCUGGUCCAAUGUUGGCAUUGCCACCAAUUUGGACAUGUUCAAGCUAAGUGUCCUCAAUCUCGUCCCUUUGCUGGCAUGCAUAUUGCUUCCUCUUCCGAUCUUAACUGGUAUUAGGACUCCAGUGCUACAAAUCACAUGACAUGUGAUGCUAAGUUGUUUCCCCCCGGUGCUUCGUCUGCACCAAGUGAUAAUGUUGUUAUUGGUAAUGGUGACACCCUCCCCAUCACUCAAUUUGGUAAUGUUUUGUUUUCUUUUGGCACUUAUGUUUUUCGUCUCUCUGAUGUUCUUCGUGUUCCUUCUCUUCAUAAAAAUCUUUUAUCAGUCGCUCAGUUUACACAUGAUAUGCAUGUCAAUAUUACUUUCUGUUUAUACCAUAUUUAGGGCCUUGUAUUUAGACCUCGUAUAAAUACUCGAGGGACUUAAAUGUAAUUAUGUAAUAAAGGAAGGGGCAAAUAUGUAACUAGGGGAGGAGCCCUUAUUCUAUAAAAGGCCUCUUCACCCUCACAAACCCUAAGCCUCUCCUAUCUAGGGCAAAGCUUUCACACUCUCUCCCUCACUUCUCAGAGAAAUACAAUACAAUCAGUGUGGACGUAGCUCAAACCUUGGGGUGAACCACGAUAACUCUUGUGUUAAUUACAUUUCAUGCAGAUUCACUGUCAGAUUUACGUUGUACCAAGACCUCCGGUUUUGUGCAUCAACAUUUGGCGCCGUCUGUGGGAAUCGACACGAAAAGCUAUGUCGGUUCUCUCUCAUUUUUUCACCUCCGCCGUGGAUCUGCAAAAUUUGCAAAAUCAACAGUGCAAAAUCUGAAAAAACCCACAAACCUCUUUGCCGUUUUUCCAGAAAAAGCAUUCACUAAGCUCCAAAACUCAUCCCUUAAACACCAUCACUCCUCUCUCUCUCUCUGCCUCUGAACUCACGCCUUUCCCCACAACCCACACAUUUUCCACUUUUCAAAAAAACCUGCUCCGAUUGACGAGGGUUUGACUGUGGCGGUUGACGAAAAGGAAAGCCAGAAGCGGAUCAAGUAGGUUAAAGAAUAAGAUAGGUCUGGGUCAGAUCGUAAAAUUGGAGAAAGGAUGAGGCUUUUUAGAAAACUGAAACUCGGAGCUCAGGUAGUGUUACUCUAAAAACCCACGCUAGCUAUCGUUUCAGUGUUGCAACAACUCACUCUUGAGCUUGGUGUCGGGGAGAUGCAGGCCAUGGUGAAGAAGUAUCAGCAGAGGUUCAGGAAGGUGAGGGAUGAGAUGGACAGCUAGGCCGUGCUUUAGUCUCGCUUGCUUUCAUAGGUCGGGAACGCCUCCUCCAUCAUCCAGAGGUUGUAGUUUUCCAAGUUUUGAUGGUUUUGAAUCUUUUGGCCAUAUCAUGCAUGGCCCAGGCCCGAGGAGCUACACCCACAACCUCGCCGCCAACCGCCACUGUCAUCCACCACGAAGCUGCUCUAGUCCACCUCAAUACAAAAGGUUCGGCUUUACGGUUUCGACCCAGCCAUAAUCAAAGCCCUGGCGAACACCGACGUCGGAAUCAUCAUCAAAACCCAAACUAAGAUCGACGCCGUCAAACUCUUCGACGCCAACCCAGACAUCAUCAAGGCCUUCGCCAACAUCAACAUCUCAUUGACGAUUACCGUCCCCAACGGAGAAAUUCCGAGCCUAAAAAACCUACAAACCGGUCACCGUUGGAUCACUGAUCAUGUCAAGCCGUUUUACCAGGCAAGCAAAAUCAAAUACAUUACCUUGGGCAACGAGGUCCUCCACUAGGGGGACGACGCUCCCAAGUCGAGCCUAGUUCCUGCCAUAGAGACUUUCCACAGCGCUUUGGUCCAAGAGGGGAUCAAAGACGUCAAGGUCUCGACCCUUCACUCGCUGGGAAUCAUGUUGUCUUCUGACCCGCCCAGCACGGGCCGAUUCAGACUGGAGAAACCCGGCCCGUCUGCUGAGAAGAACUGGGGGCUAUUCAAACCGGACAUGACUCCGGUGUACAAUGCUGGAGUUAUACGCGAUCAACAGGUUCUUUCAAGGGAUCAGAUAGAGGAACCAAACGAGCAGCACCAGCAACGCGUGCACAAGAAUCGUUGCCAUCGAUUUUUUCUAAGAACGCGUGUCGUUUAUCCACGCUACGACAUCCACAACCCCUGCUACGACAUUGAUGAUCUGGAAUAAUUGGCGCGCACUUUCCGCAUGUUGAAUCCCUGCGAGUUCGUGUCCAGCAUGUAAAUCACAACCUCGCAUCCAAGAGGCGGUUCAGAGCGAGACAUGUGUUCGGCGAUGAUCUUAACCGCCACCCUCCGCAGCAGGUCCUGUUGCAUCACACUUAGUUGCUUCAUGUAGUGCAUCAAUGGCAGUAAAGGCUGCGAGUACGUGUGGAUCGAAUCCAAUGUGUUAGGGAGAGAAAUGGCAGGUUAACUGCCGCCCCCCUUCAACAAGGCAAUGAAAAAGCUCGGCGUGUUAGGGAUUCAGACCUAAACAUUGCUUUUGUGCCAUCCAAUGCGCAGAGAAUAAAAAAAAAAAAAAAUAUAUAUAUAUAUAUAUAUAAAAAGAAAAGGCAGUGUGUCGAUAUCGAGAUACAAAGACAUAUGCUCCACUCAAUAGCUGCAUUUCUCGAUUCUGUGUGUGGGGUUACGCGGCACCACCCACUUGUGAAAGUUUAAAGCGGUUUCAAUCAGGACCAGAAUCACCUUCUUCAGCUGUCUCUGACGCACAUCGUUAUUACUUUAUCAGUUUGGUGCACGAUAAGAUUCUCUCUUUUUCUUUAUUAUUUUUGCCUCACCAUUAUUACUUCCCUAGCCACCUUAGAAAAUAAAAGCCAUCUGCAAUCUGAAGACUCCACUGAUUUUAUUAGCAAAAGCAGAAAGAGAAGAGACAUUCCACGUGAUUUCCUUGUCUGCCAUCUGCAAAAGGGAAAAGAGAAAGUAAAAGCAGAAAUCAAAAGAGAAAGCAAAAAGCAAGAAAUAAACACCCCACCAGAAUGAUGUGAUUUAUUUUUUUCAACAGAUGUAUGAUGUAAUUUAUUUUUCUUAUCUCUCAGAGACAUAUGUAUAAACCCCAUCAGAGGGUAAAAAAAAAAAAUACGCAAAGCCCAAAAUAAAUGGGCUGGAAUGUUAUGUAGAGGGCGAAGGCCCAUAAGCCCAAAAUAGCACCAACCAGGUCAUCAAAAGUACGCCCAGUACUCCACAAUUAUUCGGCAACUCGUCGCUAUUACCACCAACCAGGUGACUAAAAGUACGCCCAGUACUCCAAAAUUAUUCGGCAACCCACCGUUAUUACCACCAACCAAGUGAUGAGAUGUACAACCCGUACUCUAAUUUGGCAACUAGCCAUUCAUGCCACCAACCAGGUGAUCAAAAGUACGCCCAGUACUUCAUAUUAUACAUGAGCAUUACUCAUAUCAAUCAUACAUAAACAUUCAUGAACAUGAGCAUCACUCAUGUCAACAUUCAUGAGCAUCACUCAUGUUAACAUCCAUGAGCAUCACUCAUGUUAACAUCCAUGAGCAUCACUCAUGUCAAUCAAACAUUCAUGAGUAUCACUCAUGUCAAUCAAACGUUCAUGAGCAUCACUCAUGUCAAUCAGCUUCAAAAGCUUCAUUUACAAAAGCUCUAGCUUCAAAAGCUUCAUUUACAAAGCUACAGCUUCAAAAGCUUCAUUUACAAAAGCUCUAGCUUCAAAAGCUUCAUUUACAGAGCUCCAACUUCAAAGUUUCACUUACAAAGCUUCAGUGCAAGGUAUACAAAUAUCGCCUCCGAACAACCGUCACCUCGACCCAUACAUGAAUUCAAUUUGAAGUCUCCAGCCAACAGACUCUAUUGACCAAAGACUUGGGGGACUACAUUAUGUACCAUAUAUUGGGCCUCAACUGGGCCUCAUGAAAAAUACUUGGGGGACUUAGCCCAUUAUUUAUGUAUUAAGGAGCGAGCCCUUAUUCUAUAAAAGGGACUCCCUCACUUUCAUUAGAGAGCACCCAUUAUUCAUGUACUGAGGAGCGAGCCCUUAUUUUAUAAAAGGGACUCACCAUCAUUAGAGAGCAACGCCGCCAGCUGAGCAACCGCCUCGCUGCGAGCAUCACUCCUAACCCAUCACUUAUGUAUUGAGAAGCGAGCCUUUAUUCUAUAAAAGGGACUCCCUCACCACCAUUAGAGAGCAUCGCCGCCUACUAAGCAACCGCCUCGUCGCGAGCAUCAACUCUAGCCCAUCAUUUAUGUAUUGAGGAACGAGCCCUUAUUCUAUAAAAGGGACUCCCUCACCAUCAUUAGAGAGCAUCAACUCUAGCCCAUCAUUCAUGUAUUGAGGAGCGAGCCCUUAUUCUAUAAAAGGGACUCCCUCACCUUCAAAUGCUGCAAGCCGAGCCAACCAAGGCAACAUAAGCCACGAACCGAGCAGCCUCGCAGCGUGUGCUACUUCUAGUUGAGUGUCAUUUCAGAUUAAGCACUGCCUCAUAUCGAGCAUCAGUUCAAGAUAACAUCUAGUUACUUCGGCCCACACAUGAACUGAAUUUCAAGUCUCCAGCCAAAAGACUCUCUUAACUGAAGACUUGGGGGACUACUAUUUAUACCAUAUUUAGGGCCUUGUAUUUAGACCUCGUAUAAAUACUCGAGGGACUUAAAUGUAAUUAUGUAAUAAAGGAAGGGGCAAAUAUGUAAUUAGGGGAUGAGCCCUUAUUCUAUAAAAGGGCCUCCUCACCCUCACAAACCCUAAGCCUCUCCUAUCUAGGGCAAAGCUUUCAUACUCUCUCCCUCACUUCUCAGAGAAAUACAAUACAAUUAGUGUGGACGUAGCUCAAACCUUGGGGUGAACCACGAUAACUCUUGUGUUAAUUACAUUUCAUGCAGAUUCACUGUCGGAUUUACGUUGUACCAAGACCUCCGGUUUUGUGCAUCAACACUUUCUUUCCUUAGGGUUAUCACAUUCGUGACUUACAAAUUGGCGUUCUUCUUUUUCAGGGACUAUGUAAAGAUGGCCUUUAUCCCAUUUUUCCUACACUCCUGACUGGGCCUAAGACAACUUUUUCUUCCGUUGCCGUGUCUUCGUCUCUUUGGCUUCAUCGUCUUAGUCAUCCUUCCAACAGAGUGCUUGAUUUACUAGUUUCUAAGUCAUUGUUAGGUUCUACUUCUCGUUUAUUGCAUUCAAAUUGAAGCCAUUGUGCCUUAUCUAAAUCAAUAAAACUUUCAUUUUCGCCUCAUGAACACCGUUCCCUUGCACCAUUUGAUUUAAUUCAUUCAGAUGUGUGGAUGUCUCAUGUUCUUUCCGUCUCUGGUUAUCGCUAUUAUGUCCUGUUUUAGAUGAUUCCACUCAAUAUUCGUGGAUCUUUCCCAUGCGUCUGAAGUCAGAAGUCUUUGGUCAUUUUUAUGCAUUUGUAAUGUAUGUUCAAAAUCAAUUAUCUUUGUUUAUUAAACAAUUCCAGAGUGAUUGGGGUAAGGAAUAUGACAACCUGCAAUUUAGGCAUUUUUGUGCUACUAAUGGAAUAGUACAUCGUUUUUCUUGUCCUCAUACACCCCAGCAGAAUGGAUUGGCUAAGCGCAAACAUCAUCAUAUUGCUGAUAUGGGUCGUACUCUUACAUACUGCUCACAUGCCUUACACCUUAUGGGCUGAAUUUUUCUGCACGGCAAUAUAUUUAAUUAAUAGACUUCCUACACUUGUUCUUUAUGGGAUCUCACCAUACCAAUCCUUAUUUGGUCAUUCCCCAGACUAUAAAAUGCUUCGAAUUUUUGGAUGCUUGUGUUAUCCAUAUCUUGGAGAUUAUGUGUCUAAUAAAUUACAACCUCAUUCUCUCCAGUGUGUUUUUGUUGGUUACAGUGAUAAACAUCAUGGGUGUCAGUGCUUACAUCCACCUACUGGACGACUCUACAUUUCAUGGCAUGUCAUUUUUCAUGAAGAUCACUUUUAUUAUGUUGCUGCCCCUCAAUCAAUUUCCUCUCCACCGCUUGCCGUUGUUCCCGUAGGCUUCUUGCCUAAUCCAUCUUCUCAGUCACCUGCCCAGCAACAUGUCACUCAGCCCAUGCACUUGCAGCAAGACCCACCGACUCAAUCAGCCAUAUGCAUUGCAUCAUCCAGCUGUUCCUCUCAUGUGGAGCCACCUGCAUCAAGCUGUCCUCUUGCCAAGCCUUUUACAAUAGACCCGACAACACCUGCAGUUAACCUGAUAGCGCCCGCAGCUGUUCCGUGUGUCCCACAUGUCCCUAAUCACAUUGUGCCGUCUGAACAACCAUUUUCUACAUCCCAAAACUCCAUACUGCCAUCCAAUACCGUAGAUUACUCUAUAGACCAUGAUCCUUCAGUAGUUGCUCCACCAUCUCACUGUCUCGUUUUCACUCAUUCGAAGACUAGCAUUUUUAAGCCUAAUCCUAAAUACCAGGCCAACUUCACUACUCGUUAUCCCGUUCCUCAUGCUUUUGCUGCCUUAGUGAACAUGAUGUUGAACCCACUUGCUACACACAAGCAUCUUGAUCUCCCGAAUGGAAACAGGCCAUGCUCGAAGAAUAUAAUGCACUUAUUCGUUAGGGUACUUGAUCCUUGGUCCCUACGGUUGGUUGCAAAUAGGUCUUCAAAAUUAAGCAGUGAUCUGAUGACACAAUUGAAAGGUAUAAGGCACGUCUCGUUGCCAAAGGGUUCAAUCAAUAGUCUGGUGUUGAUUAUUGUUUGCUCCCUAAAUUCGCCAUGGCCCUCGCGGGCAUGCCAAGAAUUUACUCUAACAGGAAAUUGGCGGGUGCGAAUGUGUCACUACUAGAUGUCGCUAGUAGAUGGGUUUUGAAUGAUUAAGGUUGCACCUCAGUUCAACUUUUGACCAAAAGAUUGUGCCAUUGAGUGGGAGUGGCUCAAAUCAAGGUUCUUUCUUUGCCUCAGAGACAAGGACUUUACUUAUAUGGAGAAAUGGAACAAUAUGUAAAUGGCAUGUUUGCUAGAAGUGUGAAUGAUAGAGGAAUGUAAAUGACUGGAAAUGAGUUGUACAUAAAUGUUAUUUAUUCAAAGUACAAAGCAUUCUAAGUAUAAAGGGAUACCAAACUAGAAAUGAGUUGUGCAUAAACUACAAAUGAGAUCGAUAUUACUAUUGAGGAGCAGAGCUAAUAAACAAGAAAAGUAAGGGAUGCUUGGCUAAAGCCAAAUGUCUACAAGGAGAUUGAUGAGAUAAUUUGAGUAAGUUGAUUUGAUUGGUUGUUUGAGUGUCCUUAAUCCUUGUGCCUCUACUCCUUUAUAUAGAGAUCUGAAAUAGCCUCCUUGCUGAAAACCCUGAACCUGCUCGAAUGCAUUCUAUUGCCAGCUUACAUGUGAAAUUAUAUUAUAAUAGGCAAGUUUGCAUCUCCACCACAUGUUUUCACCACAUGUCUCCACCACUUGCAAUAAACUAAUAAUUAAAAUAAGCAAGAUGUCCCAUUUCACCAUGUAUCUUCUGCCAGAAUGUCUACAUGGUGUCUCACAUCCACUUGAAAUGAAAAAGCAUGCAUUUCUUUGAUUAAACAAAGCUCUUGGCACACCUUCACCACCCAAACAAAAAGGAAAAGUAUUAUUUUGAUGUCAAACUAUUCCAUUUACAGCCAAAUAUCUUUUCAAGUUCAAUGUUUUGCCCUAUCAUCCUCUAAACGCCAUAUUUGCCAUAUUUAGCCCAAAUGGCACAUUUUAGGUGCAAACAAUUAUUUUGAUACUUUCAGCCCUGUCGUCAAGCCUACAACGAUCCGCACAGUUCUUUGCCUGGUUGUUUCUUUUCAAUGGUCCAUUCAUCAGCUCGAUGUCAAAAAUGCAUUCUUGCAUGGCUCUCUCUCUAAAGAAGUUUACAUGCAAUAACCCCCGGAUUUGUUGAUCCAGAUCGUCCUCACCAUGUGUGCAAACUUCAUAAGGCCAUUUACGAUCUCAAGCAAGUUCCACGGGCAUGAUUUCAACGUUUUCGUUCUUUCCUUGUACGGUUUGGUUUCUGUCAAAGUCGAGCUGACACCUUCAUGUUUGUUUAUUAGGAUAAUUCUCGUGUUUUGAUUUUAUUAUUGUAUGUGGAUGAUAUUAUUCUCACUGGCAAUGAUUCUUCUCAUAUUCACACCUUUAUAUGCACAUUGGGAGCAAAAUUUGACAUCAAAGAUUUGGAGCGUUUGCAUAUUUUCUUGGCAUGGAGGUUAAUUAUCACACAUAUUAUCAGUUGAUCUCCUCAAAUGCAUCAAUCUCUUGGACUGUAAACUUGUUUCCACACCCAUGGCUUCGAAAGGUACAUUUUCUAGUACUUAUGGUACAAAACUUGUCGAUCCUAUACUUUAUCGACACAUUGUUAGGGCCCUCUAAUACCUUACCAUGACCCAUCCUGAUAUCUCAUAUAUGGUUCAACAUGUCGCUUAAUUUAUAGGAUCUCCCAGUGAUGUUCAUUUUAAAUCUAUUAAGCGAAUAUUACGUUAUCUCAAAAGCACUCUUGGUUUUGGUCUUCCUAUUCGUCGAUCUCCUGAUUGUUCCUUCUUAAUUGCCUAUUCCAAUGCCGAUUGGGCUAGAUGUCCUUAUAUACGGUGGUCCACAUCCAGCUACUGCAUAUUUUUGGGACCCAAUCUUAUCUCUUGGAGUGCCAAGAAACAACCAAUAGUUUCUCGUUCCAGUGCAGAGCCGAAUAUCGAGCCUUUGCCUAUGCAUGCGCUAAUAUUAUAUGGAUUCAAAAUCUUUUAACUGAACUUCAUUGUCCGCUCACUCGUCUCAUGUUACUCAACUGUGACAACUUGUCUACCACAUACUUAGUUGCUAAUCCCGUGUUUCAUGCUCGCACAAAACACAUUGGGAUUGAUUAUCAUUUUGUCCAUGAACAAGUUGUUUCUGGCAAUCACGAGGUUCAAUUUAUUUCGUCCACGUUUCAACUUGCCGAUGUUUUCACCAAUGGAUUAUCAGUUGACCGGUUUUCACAUCUUAUUUCCAAACUUUUCACCUCUCCGGAGUCAAGUUUGCGGGGGAAUGUUAGGGGGUUACGGGAGUUACCAUAGUUAAGGGUCUUCAAUGACAAUACAUUAGUGUUUUCGCUGUUAUGUUGUUAUUAGCCUUUAUUAGGAUAUAAUGGGUUUUCCGUUUUAUUGUAACCACUAGGAAAAUAUCUUAUAGUUUGUGUAUAAAUAUAGGUUGUAAUAUCUCAAAUGAUUAUCAUUGAAUAUACAGUUUCUACAUAUAUGAACGUAUGAGCAAGCGGAAUAGAAUUUGGAGUUAAAACGAAGAUUUGAUGAAGCUUUGACGUUAAUGGCAUUUUAGUAAUUUUAUCACAUUCUCGAUACUAAUGUUAUUGUUUAUUUUGUUGGUUUGUGUGCCACUGAGACCCACUCUUUCACUUCUUCAUGUGUUCUCUCCCUCUCUUCCUCACUGUGUCUUCAUUAUCUCUUUUCACUCAGCGCGAGUUUUCCUUUGCUUUUGGCAACGGUAAGAGAUCUAACCAACACCAUUCGAUUUAUCUCGUUGAGCAAGUCAAGUUUUAUAUAUUGCUUAUGGUAAUUAGCGGCGUUUUAAAAGAUUGAAGAGAAGAAAAUGCUUCAUAGCUUCCAGUGAAAAAAUUGAAGGACUGCGAAGGGAUUCUGGCCAAACAACAAGGAAUCAACCCUUGAUACCUCAACUAUUAGAGCAACUCCAGCAUUGCAAAGGCCCCCUAGGGCUAUUCACUAUUGAAUCCAUCCAGUGAACAGUAACUGCCUUUUGCAUCUCCACUCCUAAAACUGAAUAGCCCUGGCAAUAGGCAAUAAAAUAUUAGUAUUUUUUAUUUUAUAAAAUAAUACAAAAUAAUUUUAUUUGUAAUUUCGGAUAAAGCACCGAGAGCAUCACAAUAAUUCCCUACCAUUUCUUCACAUCAUGAACUUGGAACUUGUAUAUUUAAAGAAAUUUUUCUUAGUGACGGGUACACUUGCUGAUUUGGAGUUCCACUUAUCAAUAUCUGACACCUAGUUGACAACUUGACAUCAUUUUUAUAAUGACAAGAAAUAUUUAUUUUAAGAAUAUAAUUUAAAUUAAUUAAAUAAAGAACACAGAUUCCUCUCCAUUCCAUCGUGUCUUCUAUUACUCCUCACCCGCACCCAUUCCACCAUUUUCCAUCAUUUGUUCAUGGUUUUUUUUUUCUAUCUCAGAUAAAACUUGUGAAUUUGAUUUUUUUUUGUUGGGCUUUGAUUUGGUUUUUUUGAUUAAUUGGUGGUGAAUUUUGAUAGGUUUUGAUCAAAUUUUGACUCCGUAACCUAAAUGGCACCAACCCAUCACCGAAAAUGGUCACCAUCCCAUCCCCAUCACCAAAAAUGGCAUCAACCUAGCUAUGAGUCUGGGGGCUGCCAAGCCUACCAUCAUCUCCUGAAAGCGUCCUCGUUGACAUCAGAUAAUUUCUCGAGAUUGUCAUAAUUGUAGUUUCAGGUGAGAUUUCCUUGUUCCUUUGAAUAUUUGGGAUUUUCUUUUUGGUGUUGUGAUUCUGAGUGAAGAUUUUGUGGUUAAAUUUUGUUCUUUACGCUGUGCAUGCUUUUUGUUUCGUUUUUCCAGAAUCCGACGAGAAAAUCCUACGAGCUCCGUGACCAAACCCACCAAUCUCGACCACGGUUGUUACUCACAGUGGUAGAAUCUUGUUUCUUUUCAUUUUAGCAUCAUUUUGGUGCUUAAAUUACAAUUUUUAAUGGAGUUUUAAGUUGAGAUCGGAAUCGGGAUGAAUCCCUACCAAAUAUUCUAAUGUUCUCCCUCGAGGGGUUCGAUGACCCAUGUUUUAAAUCGUGGCUGACGUCAGCCUUGCAUCAUCUCCACCUUGAGCUUUUGGGCCAACGAUUCGUGUCAGGCUGUCGCUCGGGCACCCUCCGGCGCUGAAGCCCACAUAGGCUAGACUUGAUCGCCCCAAUGAUUUGGUCAUGUUCUGUCCACGGUCCAUCAGGCUAAAAGCUCCGCUGGACUUGCUCUUAGGUUCGUCUCACUCUUAGGAAUUUAGAUCUAGUCUCAAAUCAGACGUCAGACCAACGAUGAUGGCGCGGUGACCACUGGAAGAAUCCCAACCAAAAUUUUCACAAUUCAACAAGGUGAACCAGCAAUGAGACUAGUCUAAACCAUGGUCAGAUUCAGUUCAAACAAUUGAAAUAAAAUAUUCUAAAGAUACAUUCCUUCACUGAAUAUUCUUUGAUGCAAAUGGAAUAUUUCGUCUAGUGACCGUAAUCUCAAUGACAAAGGAAUAGCUUAGCAUCAACAACCACCAUUGGUACCGACUUGUGUAGGCUCUCUAAGGAAUGUAGCGGUGCAUGAUGGUGCAUGGCGGCUUGUGAGCCUAGUUAGUUUUAAGUAUUUUCAAUCCUCCUUUUGAGCAAAUAAAGCAAUUUCAAGUGUCACAUCCAGGCCUCGCCUCCGCCGUAGAACGAUAUCGUCUGUUUUGGGCCUCAACCACGCCCUCACGAUUUUGUUUCUGGGAACUCACGUGAGCAAAACUUCCUAGUGGGUCACCUAUCCUGAAAAUGCUUUGGCCCAAUCUAGCUUAACUUCGGAGUUCCUACGGAACCCAAAGCUAGUGAACUCCCAAAAGGCCUCGUGCUAUAUGGAGGUAGGCAUGUACAUAUAAGGCACAGAGGAUCCACUCCCUUGGGCAAUGUGGGAUCUAACAAUCCACCCCCUUAAGGGCUCGAUGUCCUCGUCGGCACAUUUUCGUCCAGGGAUUGGCUUUGAUACCAAAUUAUCACAUCUCGGGCCCACCUCCGCUGUAGCACGAUAUUGUCCACUUUGGGCCCCAACCACACCCUCACGAUUUUGUUUAUGGGAACUCACGCGGGCAGAACUUCCCAGUAGGUCACCCAUCUUGGUAAAGCUCUGGCCCAAUCUCGCUUAACUUCGAAGUUCCUAGGGAACCCAAAUCCAAUGAGCUCCCAAAGGGCCUCAUGCUAUAUGGAGGUGAGCAUGUAUAUAUAAGGCACAGAUGAUCCACUCCCUUGGGCGAUGUGGGAUCUAACAUCAAGUUUUUUCCAUUGUAUUUUCACAAGCUUCCAUAUAAGAGUGACUUAUCCAGAGUAUUUCAGAGGCCAAGCAAGUUAAGGCAGCUACGAUCCGAUGACGUAUCGGUGAGUGGACUUUGUUUUCACGCGUGUAUAUAUAUGUAUGUAUGUAUGUAUAUAUAUGUGUGUAUAUAUACAUGUAUAUAUGUUUUUAUUACUUAUAAAUACAAGUAUAUUUGAUGAUGUUGAGAUUUAUGAAAUUAUGAUAGCACAAGCAUACAUAUUUUAUCUGCUCAUCAUCCAUACUUACACCAGUGUUUAUAGUACUUGUUUGAACCAAGACUAGCUUCACGUGUAUUUUCACAUCGCACUAUUACGCUUACAUUGGAUCUUUUUUGUAGGUGCUAGUAUGCACUAGUUACUUUUGCAUUUAUGACUCGUAUCUGACACAUUUAGCACCAACUUUAUGUGUAUGUAGUACUAGAGCGUACAUUAUUACACCCAUCAUGUUCAUGUAGCUACUUUCUACAUGGACUUGUGUGUCUGCAUGUUUUAUGAACAUGUUGUGUUACAUUUGUUGAGAUAUUUGUGAUUUACUCCUAUCCUUAGCGUAACUAGUUUUAUACCCCUCACACUUUCUAUUAUGCGCCCCCCCAAGACUUAGUAGCUGAAUUCUAUAGUGAGCGAGGGAUCAUUGGUGGAUUUGACGUCCACUUAAUGUAGGAAAUUUAUUUCAUGUUAGUUGUGUAAUAUCCAUUCAUAUUCAUACAUUUACUACACUUUUGUCUAUGUUCUAAAAUUGCAUGCAUUUAUAAUAAGGGUUCUUCCUGCACUAGGCAUUCUCACUCUUAGUUUAGUUUAGUUUUAAUUUAAUUGUACUUUUUACACGUCAUUUGCAUAAUAUGGCUUUGUCACCAUCUAGAUGUCGAUAAACAUGCCUCGAUUUUGAUGUCCAUUUAAAUAUCUGAGUCGAAUUGUGUCGUUAAUGUGGAGACAAAAAUAAUCACAAAGCGACACAUGGAUUUUUGGGUAAAAAGGGACAAAAUUACCCUCGAGGCACACCAGGAUUCCUAUGCUCGAGCAACGGGCAAGCAUCCCUCAACCAAGUAAAAAUUGCCUAAAAUAGGUAACAAUUUAAAACCUAUUUCAUCCAUCCUCAUCAAAUCCUCUCCACAAGGUAACUCUCAAAUCUUUCUCCUUUUAUUAUAUUAAUUAGCUAAUAAAUUAGGCAAUUAUUCUAUUAAUUGGCUAAUUAAUUAGUUAAUUAUUCAAUUAUUCCCAAUUGAACACAAAUCAAGAACCUAGCCCACAAAAAGAGCCAAGUGGCCCGUCCUUUCUCACCCAAGAAGGUUGGCCACACCCCUAUAAAUACUACCUCAUUCUCUCCAAAACUCAAUGCCAAUUCUCUUGCUAAACUCUCUAAAUUCUCCAAACACUUUUCCCUCAAAAUUCUAACUUUGGCAUCAGAGGUUCUUUGGCCAAACCCCCCCCCAUUUAUCAUGGGCGCGUGAGGCUCUUGGCCUUGAGCUAAGGUAUUAUUUGUUUUGUAGGUGCAAUUUUGUCCAAGAGUAAGGAGGAAGAAAUUUGCAUCCACAGUUAAUAAACACUAGAUAAAAAGUAAAGGUUUGGCCUGAACACUUGAAAAAACUUGUUGAGUGGAUUAAGGAUUAAGCGUGUUUUUAUUUGUAUUGUACUUGUGUCUAAAACAAUGCCAUUUUGUGCUUCGGAUUAAUAAGGGUUAAUAAAACUUUGUGAGUUUAUACUAUAGCCCUCCUCACACCCGGGUGCAAAAAGUCUUUCAAUUGAAAGACUCGACUUCUUUACUAACAUGUUUGAACUUGUGAGUUUAUUCUUAGCCCUCCUCAUGCGCCGGUGCAAAGAAGUCUUUCAUUUGAAAAACUUGACUUCUUUACUAGCAUGUUUCGGGAAAGCUAUGAAUUGGGAAGGGAAAGAAGGAAAGAGAACGAUCAACUAGUUCUCCUGUUUGAUUUGGUUCUUGAUAUUUUCAAAUAUUCGAUUAUAGAUUUUAAGGAAAACUAAUUGUUUGCACUCAAAAUAUACCCAUUUUUACUUAUUUGGGCAAUUUGGGUAAAAUAUGGCAUUUUGAGGAUUAAUGAGUAAGAAGACUAACUUGGAAGAUAUUUAUCUAUCAAGUGGAUGGGUUUGACACUAUAAUAUUGUUUUUCCCAUUUGUUUUGGUGGUGGAGGUUUGCCAAGAGAGUUGUUUAAUCAAAGAUAAAGUGCAUGCUUUUUCAUGCAAGUGGAUGGAAAGUCACCAUGCAUGCUUUCGGGUAAGAAUAUGUGAAAGAAGCCAACUUGCUUCUUUUAAUUGUUAGUUUAUUAUAAGUGGGAAAACAUGUGAUGAAAGCAUGUGGUGGAAAUACAAGUUCCCCUUUCAAUAUUAUUUCUCCAUGCAAGUUGGCAAGUGAAAUACAAGCUGCCCAAGCAAUGGAAUACAGACUGCCCAAGUUUCUUUCGGGCAGGUGCAAUGUCUUCAGCAGGGGGUUUCCUCCAGACCUCUAUAUAAAGGAGCACAAGCACAAGGAUUAGGGACACUCAAAACAAACACUCAAAACAAACACUCAAAACAACCAAUCAAAACUCUACUCAAAUUAGCUCAUCAGCUUCCUUGUAGACAUUUAUUUUUAGCCAAUCCUUUGGUUUUCUUGUUUAUUAGCUCUACUACUCACUUGUAGUAUCGAUCUGAUUUGUAGCUUUUAUGUACUCAUUUCCAGUCAUAUAAAUUACAAGCAAUCUGCAAUAUUAGUCACUUUCCUCUGUUAUUUAUAUUUCCAAGCAACCUUGUCAUUUACAUAUUGUUCUAUCUCUCCAUAUAAGUAAAGGCAUUAUUUUUAAGGCAAACAAAGAACCUUAAUUUGAGCAACUCCCACUCAAAUGGCACAAUCUCUUGAUUUGAAGUCAAAAGGCGCAACUCAAUCAUUCAAAUCCCGUCUACUAGCGGCAUCUAGUAGUGGCACGCCCGCACCCACCAAUCUCGUAUGUGAAGUAAAUCCCCGCUUGCCCGCAAGGCCCCAUGGCGGAUUUAGGGAGCAAACACUAAUGAAAAUAGCUUAAAACUUUAAGUUUUAACCAAAAGGACAAAAAGUUAUUGUAAGUGAAUCGUAUCAGGAGUGACUUUUUAGAGUAAAAAUGUCAUUAAUGUUAAAUGUGAACAAUAACAGAAGUGUUUCGUUAAGACUCCCUAGAUUUUAAGGUGUAACCUACACUUUUUCUCAUUCCAUUAUGUAUGAAGUAAACACAUUAGAAGAUAAGAAUUCAAACAAUAAAAAACUAUCCAUGUUUUAGUAAACGUAGGAAAACCAAAGAUCGGGACUAUUCCAAUUUUCUCCAUAUAAGUAAACAUGUCCUAGACCUUAUCCUCUCACCUCCAACCCAAACCCUAGCUUUCUUGCUACAGCCAAUGGCUUCUUGCUAUGGCUUGGGGUUAGCAGCAGCCCUCUCCACCCCUUUUAUCUUCCCCUUUCCUCUUCCCUUCCUCUCCAUCUUCAAUUUUACCCCACACCCACACUAUUUUGCUCCUUCUCCUCCCUUGACCAGAGACCCCCGUUUUUUCCCAAUGCCCUGUUGGAAAAUAAAAAUGAAAGUACUUUAGGAUUUGAUAUAAUUAGUGAUUUUAUAUGAUUUAAUUAGGUUUGAUAUGAUUUGAUUUGGUCUAGGUUUCCUUGCCUUGUUGACAAAGGAUUAUUUUGAUUUAUUUCCUAGUAUUGCUCCUUUGUAAUCUUAUAAAUACCUCCUUAUGGAGAAGAAUAAGGAAUUGAAGUAAUAUUUGAGAAUUGUGAGAUUGUAGAGAAUUCUUAUAUUUGUCAUAAACCCUUUAUUUUCAACGUGGUAUCAGAGUAGAGUUCGAUUAUUGGCUGAACUUUGUUGUGGGUGCAUGAAGCUAAUUUUCUUCAUUCACACACAAGUCAUGAACCUAAGGGUGAAGACUGUCUACGACUGAUAGAAGAAGAUAAAUUUCCGCUACCAUGAAGAAGAAUAAAGGAAGAAAAGUCCAUGGUUUCAAUGCCUUGGAGGAAAGAGAUUAGAAGAAGACAAAAAACGUUUUGUCAAGGUAGGAUUAGGGAUGGACAACGGUUAUGAUAAUCGGGUAACCGCGGUUAUUUACCCACAACCGUUUAUGCUCAUACCCACAUAACCGUUUACCCGUUAGGUAAUUACCUAAACAGUUAUACCCAUACCCAUAACCGUUUAUAAACAGUUAACCAUACCUAUAACCAAGGUAUAAAAUAUCGAUGAUAUCGGAAAUAUCGGUAGUCUAAAAACACGGAAAUUUCGAUGGAAAUAUCGGGAUAUUAUUGAUAUCGAUAAAAAUUAAAUAAAAACCAUAGAAAUUGUAAGAAAAAAUUGAAAUUUUUUAUUGAAACUGUGCAGGAUGUUUAUUUAGUCAAUUAUCUAUUAGUUUAUCACAUAAAAUUGGAAGGAAAUGCAUUGCAUGAUAGAUAUAACUAAUUUAAGUUGAUCAUAUAGCGAGCUGGCAAACAUGGUGAGUGUAAAAAAUAUGUAGUAAUUAAUGAAAGAAGUUUAAACACACCAUAAUCAUUUAUAUAUAAUGAAUUAGUACAAUAUUUUACAUUGCAUAGUAAGAUACAUGAGUGACUUAGCAAGGUCUAAAAUAUCGAUGAUAUCAAAAAUAUCAGUAGUCCAAAAAAAUAUCGGUAGUCCAAAAACACAGAAAUUUCGAUGGAAAUAUCAGGAUAUUAUGGAUAUUUUAGACCAUGCCUAUAACCGCAUACUCAUUUAACCGUAACCGUUUAAUACCCGUUUACCCAUUUACCCUUUUUAACCCGCUUAUCUUUUUUUUUUUUUACCAUUACCCUUUUUUCACCCGUCUACAUGUUUUUUUUAACAACUUGAAAAUUUUAAAAAAAAAUUGUCAUAUUAUUUUUAAACAAUUAAACACCGUUAUAGGUAUAUUCAUCAUACAUUUCCGUAUUUUAAUUUUUUAAGUCCUUAUACCAUUUCAAUAAUUGAAAUAAUAGUUUACGAACGAUAUUUUUAAUUGAAAUAGAAUGAAAAAGCAAGAAAUUUAGUUUUAAAGAACAAAAUUGGAAUAUAGGAUAUAUAAAUUAUAGUAACAAUGCUAACAAAAGUGAGGGAUUAGCUUAAAUGGCAAGUCGCAACAUGUUUGAGGAACAUGUCGUGGAUUGAAUUAAGUGAGUGGGGCUGAGGGGAAUUGUUAUUUAUUUUCCUAAUCUUUUGGGAAAACUUUUACUACUAAUCCAUGUUACCAAUGAAGGUAAUAUAAUAUUUGUUAAGUAUUUUUUGUUACGAAAACUGUUUAGACGACAAUAUUCUUGAGUUAUUUAACCUAUAAUGUAAAGUAUUAACAUAAUAUAUAUAUAUAUAAACGGUUACCCGUUAUAACCGUUUAUAACCGUGGUUAAUACUCAUAACCACCCAUUUAAAUUUCACGAGUAAAUGGUUAUACCCAUAACCGUUUAUUUAUAUCUAAACAGUUACCUAUAACCGUAAUCGUGAAAUUUAAAUGGGUGGGUAACUGCCGUUACCCAUAUUUGCAGGUAUUUUGCCCAUCCCUAGGGUAGGAUACGUUUCCUAUCAUGAAGGCUUUUGGGUUUUGUUUUCUUUUAUAUUUUUUUAAAUUUAGUUUGUUAUUUAGUUUGAAGAAGAGAAAAAAUGAGGAUGAAAAACAAAGAUGAGAAAAAAUAUAUUAACAGAGGGAGAGAGAGAGAUUUGGUGGUUAGGGCUUUUGAAAAGAGGCGUUAGUUUCAAUUGGGCUUUCGAAAAGAGGUGUUAGUUCCAGAGAUUUAUUUAUCGGGCAUUUGAAAAAAGACGUUAGUUUCAAUUAGGUUUACGAAAAGAUUAGCGUUAGUUCCAGUUGGGCUUUCGGAAAGAGGCGUUAGUUCUGAGGAUUAUGAUUUCUUCGCCGGACUUUCGAAAAGAGGCGUUUUUUCUAGUUGGGCUUUCAAAAAGAUUGGCGCUAGUUCCAAUUAGGUAUUAGAAAAAAGGCAUUAGUUCUGACGGAUUGCGAUUUGCUGAGCUUUCAAAAAGAUUGGUGUUAUCAAUGAAGAUUUCCUUUUUGGCAAACUCAUGAUUUCACACCAUGAGUUUGAAAGGGGGGGGGGGAGGCGUUGGAAAAUAAAAAGGGAAAUAUUUUAGGAUUUGAUUUUAAGGGAUACUUUGGAUGCGGUCCUUAGUCUCUAAAAUUCUUUAAUUAAAACCUUAAUGGUAUUCAAAGUUUGAUCAAAUUUCCUUGACUUUGUACACCUCAUUAUAUUACUAUUAAUAUUUAUAUUUUUAUAGUUUUGACAUUAAUUUUUUGAUAUUUUAUGAGAUUUAUAAUCCUAUAAAUUUAAAAUCCCUCAUUAUAAAACUAUUAGAAAUGGCUACAAUAAAAAAAUUCAAACAUUUUAAUUGAAUAAAUGGAUAAAAACUAUGUAACAAUAAGAAAUAAUAAAUGGCAAAAGAAUGUAUCCAUAGUGUUAAAAAAAUUGGUACAUUUCACAUAUAACAAAGUGGUACAUUAAUAAAGAAGAAUGGGUAUAUUAUAAAUAAAUUAGGGUACAAAUAAAAGAUUAAAAAAAUUAUGAAUACAAAUGAAAUUUAAAAAAAUAUGGGCACAAAAAGAAAUUAAUAUAUGGGUAUAAAUUAAAACUAAAAAUAAAAUACUAAAAAUUAAAAAAAAAAAAAGGGUUGCAAAUUAAAAGUGGGUACAAACUAAAAAGGGCAAAAGACUGUUUACUACCCUCAUGUUUCGUGGUUUUCAACAUUUAGUACAUCAAUUUUUUUUUGUCUCAGAGUCAUACCUAAAGUGUAAAUUUUGGGACAAUUUCAUACAUCCGUUAGUCAAACUGUUAAGUCUCCCGUUAAAUGAUGACAUGGCACACACAUGGACAAUGACUGGGCGCCACGUGUCAUUACAAAUAUUUAAAAAAUUAAUUAAAUAAUUUAAAAUUUAAAAUUUAAAAUUAAAAAAAAAAAAAACAAACCAGCCAUUUUCCCCCUCUCCCCCCGCGCCCCCAACCCAGAGGAAGAAGAAGGAGAAAAAAAAAAUUUGUCUGCCAACCCAGAAGAGGAAGAAGAAGGAAGAAGAAGAAGGAGAAGAAGAAGAAGAAUAAGAAGGAUAAGAAGAAGAAGAAGAAGAAAGAAAAAAAAAAAAGAAUCUGCAACACCAGAAGAAGAAGAAUGAGGAGAAAAAAAAAAACCGUCUGCCAACCCAGAAGAAGAAGAAGAAAAGGAAGAAGAAGAAGGAGGAAGAAGAAGAAGAAGAAGAAAAAAAAAAAACCUGAAUCGGCAAAGAUUAAUUCUUCCCCCCCCCCCCGCGACCCACUUGUUCCAACGCCUCCACAACUGCUUGGGCUUUGUUCAUGGGUUCUAAAGGAGUCUAAUGGUGGUGGUGGUUGACGAGAUUUACAUAAAAAAUGGCGGAUCGCCGUCACACCACCUUCGCCACACCCCUCACAGUUUCUUCCAUUUUCACCACCAAAUCUCUCCAAAUUUGGGAUGUAAUAGGUAGAGGGAAUGUCAUGAAGUUGAUUCUAGGUGGUUAAGUAGUGCAAUUUGCCGGAAAAAUGGGUGAAAAUUUGUCGGAAAAAAAGAAUGAUGCGGGUCAGGUCGCGGGUCAAAGAGAGACCCGGCCGUUCCCCUCCUUCUCCCCUCCCUCCUUUCUCUCAUUUCCUCCUCCCUCAUUCGCCACCUCAUUUCUCUCUCCUCCUCCCCUUGGCCGAAACUCUCCAAUUUCUCUCCAGAAACUCUCUUCUUCCUUUCUUCCUUCUUCUUCCUCCUUCUUUUUCUGGGUUGCAAACGACUUUUCUUUUUUUUUCUUUUUUCUCUCCUUCUUCUUCCUCUGGGUUGGGGGCGCGAGGGAGAGGGGGAAAAUGGAUUGUUAAUUUUUUUUUAAUUUUAAUUAUUUAUUUAAUUUUUAAAUAUUUUUAAUGACACAUGGCGCCUAGUCAUUGUCCACAUGGACGCCACGUCAUCACUUAACGGGAGAACUAACAGUUUGACUAACGGAUGUAUGAGACUGUCCCAAAAUUAACACUUUAGGUAUGACUCUGGGAUGCAAAAAAAAUUGAUGUACUAAAUGUUGAAAACCAUGAAACUUGAAGGUAGUAAACAGUCUUUUGCCCAACUAAAUAUAUAAAUUUAUGAUACAAAGUUUAUGACAUACCCCGUCCCGAAGGAGGGCAUGCUGGCCGUCACGUGAGAGUGACGUAACCAUUUGCACAGUACGGAAGCUUUAAGAUACAAUUUAUAAGUUAAUACACCCGAAGGUGAGUCCUAAUUUUGUCCAAUCUGUCAGAACACCGUCAAAUUCCUCGUAGUCACCACACCUUUGUGAUUCCUGAACCUGGAGGGGCGCAAAACCAAAAUUGAGUGGGUCAGUAAAACAAUUCUUUUCCAAAUCCAAACAUUU
rnacentral:lncRNA from 1 species